UAAAAUUUCGUUUUUCUCUUAUGUUGUUUCAUUUUGUGCACAGAACAUAAGAAAAUAAAUAAAUAAAUAAAAGGGAGACUCCCUUUUCUCUGCUAGGGUUCCAAGGCCGUCUGCCGCAUCUCCAUCGCAGCGCCACCAAGGACGGUGGCCGGAGUCAUGCGAGAAAAAGGGGUUUUUAAUCCUCAUCGUGUGGCAUCCUUGAGAUCUCAGAUCUCUCAACCCGCGGGAAAGAGGGAAACCCACAACCCCUCUCGGACCCAAAUCGGCGACGGAGGAGAAGCCCUCCGACGGCGCAACCACGGUGGUUCCCGGUGAGUCCCCUUUCCCUUUUUAUUUUCUAUUUAAUGUACGAAAUAAAGAAAAUAAAAUAAAAUAAAUAAAAAAGAAAUACGGAUCUGAUGUCAAAGCCUUGAAUCUGUUUUUUGAUUGUUUUAUUUAUAUGAAAAUGUUACAAUAGAAAAGAAAAAGCCCCCCGAUUCAGUGAUGAAAAACCCCCACAAUCUGUUUUCAAAUUAGUUUUUAUACCCGAAAGAAAAAUAAGAUAAAAUCCAAUCUUUGCCAUUGUCCUCUGUGUAUUUGCUUGUUUCUGUCUUUUUGCAGGUAUAGGUGUGGCGAUGGGAUGUGACGAACGGCGGCUUAGGGUGGCAGAGAGGCUGAGCGGCGCACAUGGGCAGUAGAGGCUAGGGUUUUCUUUGGCUGAUAAUUUUUAGUUUUAGUUGGGCUAGGGUUUAGUUUUUUUGUAAUUGGGCUGAGGGUUUGGGUUAAGUUUGUUUUAAUUUUGGGUCUGCUGUUUUGUUUUGGGUUUUGCUGGUAUGGGCCCCGGGCAAAUUUGGGCUUCUACAACAACCAUCACACAAAUGCAUACUGACAGUAUCUUCAGUUCAUAAACAUCCCAAUAAACCAUUGAGAUUGUAUUUCAAAGAAGCAAAUUACUCAACCCGUGGCUUUUUCGGCAAACUGGCUAGCUUCAGUUGGUUUUCUUUUAACUCAGCUUCGUCCUGAUCCAGCUUCGGUUUCUUCUCUUUUAAGUCUGCUUCGUCCUGAUCCAGCUUCAGUUUCUUCUCUUUUAAGUCAGCUUCAUCCUUCUCCAGCUUCAGUCUGUCUUUUGUAAUAUUAGCUUUCUUCUUCUCAAAUCUCUUCUCCUCUGCUUCAUACUCCAUUUCACGAGCCUUCAUCAACUUAUUCAUGAUGUUUUGCACCAUUGCCUCCAUAGUUGUGAUCACUUUUAGCUCAAGUAUCUCUGGGUUACUUACUAUUUUAUGGUAAACUUCAGCUAGUGAGUUCAUAAUGAUCCUUUGAACAUCUGCAUGACUACAUAAAAAAAAUUGUUAUCAGUAUAAAGGUGCUUUUGAAAUGUCAGUGAGCACUUGAGUUCAUAAAUAUUGUAUACCCCUGGACAGUUGACAGCUUCAUAUCGUCUUGAUUUGCUCUGACAUCACCGCUGCCUUCAGUCAGAUCAUUGUAUUGUUGUCGUCUAGAAAACAAAGUUAUUAAGGUAGGAAACAUAAAGGAUAUUAAUAGUUACAAUUGACAAGUAAAAAGCUGAGGAUUUUAUAAGAUCAUUUAUCAACUUGCAGCAAUUACCUGACAGAAGAAAGUUUCCAACAUCAAAAAACGGCUGUGACAGAAGAUCCUAUAGAAAAAGAGAAUCAGAUCUGAUCCAACAAUAAGCAAUUUGAAUUUAAAAAAUAUAUACAGGCCAAAACUUACUGGAUCAACAUUAAGCCCCUUUUCUAGUGAGUCUACUUCAUGAUAACCCUGCAAAUAAGGAGAGAAGUACACAACAUUAAGCCCCUUUUCCUACUCAGGACUUUUGUGUGUGUUUGACUAAUAUUUCUAUGAUUGCGUUUAUCUGUAUUUGAUUCCAAUUCAUUGAAAUCAUCCAUGUAUUCCUUGAAUGAACGUACAAUCUAAGAACCAUAAGAAAAAGGACAUAAAAAUCCGAAUAUUUAAACUACAAAUAUUUCUGCCUGCUAACUAAUGUUCAGGUAGAAUAAUCUGAGUUCAACAAUUGCUUACAAAGAAAGUAACAAACAUUUCUGGCCUAUAUAUAUAUAUAUAUAUGUAACCCAGAGAAUUAAUAAAAAGAAGUGAUAUUUUUGGUUGUAUCACUUUAUAGUUUGCAAAAGAUGAAAUAAACUGCCCGUCAAAGAAAUUAAAGGGAUGACAAGUUGUACUUAUAUGACAGUAGGAAUAGCUGAGAAGGGUUAAAAUCUUCAUUGGUUAAAAGAGAAUCUAUUAUUACAACAGAGGAUUAAACUUGAUUUUUGCAUAUUUAUUGAAAGGAUUGAAUAGAAAACUAGUCGACAAUACAUGAUUGCCUAUUCAAGUCAUAAUUUGCUCAACAAAAAUCAAAAUUCGGUUCUAAGUGAAAAAAAAGAACAGAACAGAACAUGAGAGCCAAAAGACAAGUUAUUCUGUGUACACCUCCAGAAGACUGUGAUAUGGAUGCUUUUAUUGUAAUAGGAGUUUUUGUUUUAUUUAUUUAUUAUAUCAGGUUUUAUUAAGAGUUUUAAUUUUACUUAUUUUUUCUAUUAUAUUAGGUUUUUAUUUCCAAGUUAAGAAUUCUACUAGGAUUCUUUCCUUUAUUAUUAACAGACUAUAAAAUGCUGCCAAUAUGAAAUAAAGAGAAGCAAUUAUUCUAUCAAAAAGAAACGAUAUUAUGAGAGGGGGUUCAGUUAAGGAUGAAUCUUUCUUUUGAGUAAUCAUAGGUCGAAGUAAGAAUUCUUUCUCGUCCAGACCUGUGACUAGAUUGCAAAGGGAGGGGGACAAACAACAAAACCAACAAGGAACAACGGCAAAAUAGGUUCUUCUGCACCAUUUAUUAAGAGACUGACACAGACAGAAAUGGCGGAAAGAAUGGCUAAGGGGUUGUGUUAUAAUUGUGAGGAGUCCUAUUCCAUGGGACGCAAAUGUAAAAGGUUAUUUUGGAUAGAAGUACCAAAUGUUGAAGGCAAGCAAGAUGAUGAUGAGGUAGAUGAUUUUGGAUAAGUUCUGAAAUUUAUUCUGAAUUUGAGCUUGAGGACAAGCUCAACUCCAUGGAGGGGAGUAAUGAUAUGGACGCUUUUAUUACAAUAGGAGUUUUAGUUUUAUUUAUUUAUUAUAUCAGGUUUUACUAAGAGUUUUAAUUUUACUUAUUUUCUCUAUUAUAUUGGUUUUUAUUUUCUUCAUACACUCUAAUUUAGGAAUUCUAUUAGGACUCUUUCCUUUGUUAUUAAUAGUCUAUAAAAGGUUGUCAAUUGAAAUGAAGAGAUAAGCAAUUAUUCUAUAAAAAAAACGUUAUUUUUGAGAGGGGGUUCAGUCAAGGACGAAUCUACCUUUUGAGUAACCAUUGGUCGAGGCAAGAAUUCUUUCUCAUCUAGACCUGUGACUAGAUCCUACGCCAAGGCGCAUAAAAGACUAUUUCUAAAUAAACUUACCACAUCAACCCUAAAAAUUUAAUAAUGCAAGAACAACUUACCAAGAAAGAAAAGUCUUGCCGCUACUACUAAGUUACAGAGUUAUGUUUUCUACAAUAAUUUUCAUGAUAAAAGUAAAAUCUAAAGCUCCAUUGAUUAAAAUACUAAUGACAAAUUGGGUGCUUCUACUCAAAAUGUUUACCUGUAGAUUGAUGUGAAUCUUAGCACCUCUGGUACAAUCAGGGGUUAGAGGAAAAUGAAACAUUAAAAAUAUUAAAAAGAAAUUGAUUCAAUCCCAAAUUUUGAAAAAGUAGUCUAUUUUCCAUUUGUGUGUUCACACUUCACAAUAAUCUACAUUUACUGUUGAAGUUAUCAAUAAUUCUCGUUUCUCCCUUUUGAGAAAAAUUAAGUUGAUUCGUUUGCAGCGGUAUUGCCAAGGGUGCGUUAGCAAAUGUCAGUUCCUUUAAAGAAAAAAAUUAAAUUACUCAACUUUGAUAAACAAAAAUUUUCCACUAAACUAUAAAAAGUUAUAUUUUAAUCACUAAUAAUUUUUUAGUGAAAAAAAUAAUAAAUAGAAAUACAAGUAUCAACUAUUGAAAGCCUCUAAAGGUUUUGUCUCGUUGGAUAGCCGUAACCACCAAAUCAAGAGGUACUUCAAAUAUUUGAAAGGAGGUCUGCCAAUAGAGACUAAUCUUUGCCAAUUGAUUUGCAAUUAAAUUACACUCCUUAAGAACAUACUUAAUUUUCCAUUGACCUUCAAAACGCAAAAUAUGUUUAACUCUUUUGAGCAAGGUAAUACCGGAGUCCACUGACUCCUCCAUGGACAAGGCAUUAAUCACCUCAAGGUUAUCUAUCUAAAUCCCGACUUUCUUGUAGCCCUUAUUUAAUAAAAUGAGAAUUCUGUCAAGAAUACCCUAAAGUUCUGCCUCCAAAGGCGAACAUCUACCCAAAUAAUGAUUAAAGCCCAAAAUCCAAUUGUCAGCCUAAUCACGAACCACCCACCCACGGAUGCAUUUCCGAAAGCUCUAGCCACUGCUCCAUCAAAAAAUAAAUAAACCCAAUUGCAUUUAUAAUGGGAAUGAAUUUCCGAAUUUGGUGAAUUAGGCUUGGCCUCAUUUAGAAAAGGUUCAAAUUGUUGGGCCCAAUUGAGAGAGACCUUUACAAUUUCAUAAGUCAUCCGGUUAAUGUUUUGAAAGAUGAAAAGAUUCAUGUUUUUCCAAAUUCUCCAAGCAAUUAAUCCAAAUAAGCUUGACCAAGUAAUUUCCUUAUCUUGCAUCUUAAAAUGGCAACAAAGGUUAGUGGAAAACCAAUUUUGAAGGGAAUCAGAAAAAAAACCUGGAUUGCAUCUUAGGAAGGACUACAAGCUUCCAUGCUUCCUUAGCCGUCAAACAGUCUCGGAGUACAUGCAUAAUGUCCUCAGUAUCAUGACCACAUAAAGAGCAUGCAGUGUUUUGCCCAAUUCCUCUCUUAAUGCUCUCUGAAUUAGUAAGAAACCUAUGUUUGUCCACAAACCAAAGAAAAAGAUGAACUCUCUGUGGGCUUUGAUAUUUCCAAAUAGACUUUCAACUAUAAUCUUUAAGACUCCAAGAAUCUUCUUUUAAAGCCCAAUAAGCAUUACAAACAGAAAAAGACUCUCAACCAGAUCGAGCCCAAAUGAUCUCAUCCUCUCCACCAAUACAGUGAGAAGGGGGGAUACUUACUAUAUGCUUUAUCAAGUCAUUAGGUAGCCAAAUACGAAGCAAAUCAACUUUCCAAGAACCAUCAAGAAGAACCCAAUCCCUCAAAGUGCUCUCCAAACAUAGGCUUGCAUGAGCUGGGACAUAAGAAAAAAGAGGACCAACUUCCAGUAUCCAAGAAUCUUUCCAACAACGAAUUAAAGCCAUCACCUACAGACCACAUAAGAUUCUCACAAAAAAAGGGGUCACACCUUAGAAAGGGAACGCCAAAGAUGAGAGCGUUGAUUUUUGUGGAUAGAAUUUGGAAGCUGAUUCUUCCACCCAUAUUUCGAACAAAGGACACGAACUCAUAAAGCGCCCUUUAUAGAGACUAGAUUGAACCCAAUCUUCAUAAGUAAGGAAUUAUUUUGGUCUUGGAGAUGCUGAAACCCGAGGCCCCCUCAAGACUUAGGUUGACAAAUGGACUCCCAACCUACUAAAGUUGUUUUUGGAUGCCUAGCAGAACCACCCCAAAUGAACUGUCUUGCUAUCCUCUCUAUCUCAUCACACACACCUUUCGAGAUUAACAAGGAUUGCAUAAAGCAGUUUGAAAUAGCUAGGAGAAUUGACUGGGAAAGAAUGACAACUGAUUGGGCAAGAGUGACACGUCCCGCAAAGGAGAGUUUCCUAACAUCCCAAUUUUGAGUUAUAGUGACUUGGUACAUUAACCUAAAAGAUAUUAUCUAAUUUGACCUUGAACUCUAGUUAAAAUAUUCGAUUUCAUCCUUUCGCAACCUUUUUUAACGAUAAUUCUAAAAAAAUUAUCAAAAAAUUAUUUAUUUUCUAAAUAUAAAUAUUCACUAAAUUAUAUAUAUCUUUUACGGGUUUUUUUUUUUGCAGAGGUUAAUGUUGUAGUAACUAGGGAUGUUCAUAGUUUAGUUAAAACCGAAUUAAUCGUUUUAACCAGUCUAAUUCGAUUAAUCAACCAGUGGUCGAAUUUAGUUCAAUCAAAAGUCGGUUAAUGAUUUUUUAAAAUUUCAAGUAUCAGUUAAUUCGAUUCAAAAUCGGAUAAUUAAUCAAAAUAAAUAAUAUAUAUUAUCUAUAAUUAUUAACUUUAAAGAUUUAUGUAAUGUUUUUACAGUUUUAUUUAUUACUUUCAACUCCAUCUAAAAGUUUUUUGAACUAUUAAAAGAAAUGAACAUUAGCACUAUAUUCUUAUUAUGUUUUAUACUUAAUUUAAUCAAAAUAUAUAUAUAUUUCAAUUAACAGAUCAAAUUAACCAAAAUAUUUCAACUCGAUUAAUGUAUUUGAAAAAACUUCAAUUGAGUUAGAGGUUAAAACUUUUUACAUUUCAAGUAAUUUAGUUCAAAUAUUAAUCGAACCAACCGUUUCAACAAUGCAAUCGAUACCCUUACUGAAUGCUUUUAACGGUACCGAUUAAAUUAUCCAACGAAUUCUACAAUAAUAAAUUUAGAAUUGAAUUGGAGUUUGUUCGUAUAUGAAAUACACACAAAGUCCAUGUAAACCAUUCUUGGCAAAGCCAAUCCUUGAAUAUCCUCUUGUAGCAGUUGAGCAGGUCCUGCAGGCGGCUCACUAAAAAUUUGCAUGCCAACAUUCUGGUUUGAAGAAAGACAAAGCAUCAGCUAGCCGAUUAGCUUUCCUAUGCACAUUCUGAAUUGAAGUCAGCAAAGCCAAACCAUUCUUCCAAGUUGUAAAAACUCCUGAUUCAAACACAAAAGCAUCCCACUAAACCAUUAAAAGAUUCUAUUCCAACGUCAAAUAGAUUUCGACUUACUUGACCGCAAUAACAAGUAGCAAUUAGUCAAGCCGUGGUUUCUUGGCCAGCUUCAGUCUGCCUUCUCUUUUUCUUAGAGAAGCACAAGCAAUUACUGAGAUUUAUAAAUAUAGACACGAACCAUAAAUGAAAAUUUGGGGUUGGAUUAUUAACAGUUCAUCCACUAUUUGCACAAUGUCCUUGAAAAGGAUUUGCCAAGUUCAAAAUGUCGUAGAUCUUAACAUAAGUCGUUGCUUGUUUCUUCUUGCCUUCUUGUUGUCACAAAAGACAUUUUCCUGGAUAUGCAAAGUAGACAAUUAAUAAUGAUUUAUCCGGAGAAAAGAAAUGAGAGAAAGGAGACCCAAAGACGAGAUGAUUGGUACCUGUCUGCAUAAAUUACGGCUAAUACACUAAUCUAAAUCAUAAAUGAAGCACUUUACAGUCCAUCAGUCUGGCUUCUAAGUUAAUAAUUUUGAUCUAAAUCCAACAUCUACUAUUGCCAUAGAUAUCGCACUUAAUACUAUCGGUAUAGUCUUCAGAACUGGAUUCUUCGAGGGAAAAAGAAAACUUGAUUUGCUUUGCUAAAAAAGCUUAUUUGGUCCCUAUCUGUUGAAAUCAGCCAAGAAAUAUGGGCAUGCACUUUGCAGUUUAAAAGACCAUACACUCUGAGCAUCAAUUAGGAAAAACAUUACAGUAUGUUUAUUGAUGAUAAAAAAAUGUCGAAGAGAGGGAAGAAACGACUCCAAACUAACCAUUACCUUGUAAAAUUUAAAAGUAAAUUUCAAAAGAAAAGAACUUUCCCUGAAUCAGACUGUUGAAUUGAGUGAGGAAGGGGUUUGUAAAUCUCAGCCCAAUCUCGGCUCAAACUGAAUUUGUUGACUGGAAAAGCAUUUUUAGAUUUGUUGUUAUCUGCUUCAAAAAUGCAUUUGUCAACAAAUCCAGUCCGAUCCAAGACACCGGAAUACUGAACUGCAUCUUGAAUUAAGGGUCUUGGGGGCGACUCAUCGCUUCAAGCACUAUCCACUAUCAACAUCCUUCCCCUAUAUAAUAUAAACUUCGCAAAAUAAAAUACUGAAACAAAUUAAAACAGAUUAUAAAAGAGAUUGUGGAUCUUGGUUCAUCGCUCCUUAUACUAUCUACUAUCUACAUCCUCCCCUAUAUAAACUCUGCAAAAAUAUAUUAAAACAAAAUAUAAAAGACAGUGGUUUGUUCAUUGCUUCUUUUACCAUCUACUAUCUAUUUCCUAAAAGUUACUAAAAAGAAUUAGUAACAGAAACAUCAGCAGAUAAGGAAAAACAACUACAAAAUUUGCAUCUGUAAAAGGAAACACCAAAAUGGUGAGAAUGAGACUCAAGACUAGAGUGAUUUUGCUUACGGACGGGCAAAAACGGAAAAGAACAAAAAUGACCUAAAGUGAAAAGAACUCCUCCACACAACUGAAUAGCAUUUAUGUUCUCCAAUAACAAAAUUUACCCUUAUAUAAGGCAAAUGGCCGAAUGGCCUCUGGGUUUCAAAUAGGGUAGGCACAGUGGUUUCACAGCCGCUAAUUCAAAAUAGCAGCAGCAUCCGCUACCGCACAGUGGAAAAAUAAAAGUUGAUUAAUAAUUUUAGCAAAAAUUAAAUUAAUUAAUUUCAUAAUAAUUGAAAGAAAUGGAAUUAAAUCAACCCAUAAAUUAAAUACAUGCAAAUAAUAAACUAAAUAAUAAAAUAGAUUUAAUUAAAAAUAGGGACUAAAAUGAACAAAAAAAUAACUAAUAAAGCCUUACCGUGAAAAAAUUCACUAAUAAAGGACUGACCUAAAUCAAAUUUACAAUUUAAUUUUGAACCGGCAACAAAAAGUAUAUGCUAAACAGCGCAACAAAGGUACAAAGCAAAGGACAAAACCCUAAACUACAAUAAAAAUAAAUGGGCCUAUAAUUAUUGGGCUCUACUUGGGUUUUAGUUUUUGUUCCCUUUUACUUUUGUUUGUUGUCAUUCUCUUUUUCUUUUUCUUUUUUUUUAAAUGAUAAUUUAUCUAUAAAUUCGGUAUGAUGGUUAAGGUGUUCAUCAUCCCAAGUGUGAUUUAAGUUUAAGUUGCAUUAGUCGUAUUACUGUUACGACUUGAUUCCAGUUUUAUUAAUACAGUUACAUUUUAAUUUAAUCUUCAAGUUUCAUUUAAUCCUUUCUCCUAAUCCCACAUCUUGGUUCUUACAUUUUUUUUAUUAACACGAUGCAAGCAAUUAUAAUUCAAAUGAAUCCAAUUUAAAAUACAAUCGAAAUUAAAAUCAAAAUAUAUUCAAACUUAGACUAAAUAAAUCUAAAAAGAACCUAAACUAGAAUUAACGGACAUGAACCUAAACAGCAUUUUGCAAUAUGGUCCUUGUAUUCCAUUAAAAUGUAAUAAUGCGACAUGAUAAUAUUGUAUCACAUCAUCAAUUGGGCUUAUUUAAUUUUUAAAAUUUUCAAGUGAUGAAUUGACGUAAUCUCUUAUUAUCACAUCAUCACACAUUAACAGAAUUUAAGUUCAUGGACCAAAUUAGAAAGAAUUCAAUGACCAAGAUGAGACAUGAGUGCUUGAUAUAAUUUUUCUUUCAUAGGGCUCAAGCUUGAAGGACAAAAUAUGGGUACUUAACAUUAUCAAUUUGUAACAUUUUAAUCAUUAUGUCCAACCUAACUAAGUCUGGCAUGGCAGAAGUUAUAUUUUAAUUAUUUACACAUAAUCGUUUAUUAUUAUAUUGUGAAAUAUCAUAUUAACGAUUAUAAAGUACUAAGGUAAUGGUUCUUUGUAAGUUAACUAAAGUUAACUUUUUUGACAUGACAUGUGAUUGUCUAGGUAUAUGCUUCAUUAGUAAUUAUUUAACUUUAUAAAGUAAAAAGAAAAUUAUUAAAAUUAUAAAUAAAAUUAUAAAAAUAAUUUAAGCCCAAUAAACCAUUAAACUUACCACCAAACCAUUAAACUUACCACUAAAGAUAAGUUAAUUUACACCUUACCACCAAACCAUUAAACUUACUUUAAUAUAAAUUGAACAAAAAAUAAUAUUUAAGCCCAGUGAACAGCCUAGGAACAAAAAUAAAUGAAUUUCCCAGUAGAAGGAUUUGAACCUAAAACUUCUAACAAACAACUAAAACAUUUAAUCGCUAAAACAAAUAUUACUUUAUAAUAAAACUUAACAAAUCAAAAUUUUAAAACUUGGAGCAUUAUAUGGGAAAUUCAACGCUAUGUAUGUAUUAUAUUGUGAUAAUUCUUUAAUACCUUAAGGGUCAAGAUCGUAUCACUAGCUCAAAUACCCUAGGGUACAAGCAUAUUCUGGUGUGGUUGGUAAGGUCGAUGCAUUUAUGCUCGAUUAGCACUUCAGUACGUCUACUUCUUUUUCCUCCUCUUCUCCAUCAUGAAAUCAAUUGAAUUUCUCUGAAAAGUUUUGGAUCAAUUUUCGGAUUCCAAUCGAUAUCAUCAAUAUACAUAUCAGCUGCAUAACUUGGCAACUUAUCCUUGUAAGAAAAAUCAUGAUAAUUGUCUCAGAACCUCUGUUUAGCUUCCCGAAAAGCUUUUCAAUUAGUCGAAUCAUCUCAUUCGAAUACUUUAUAAGCUUUAUACAAAGUAUUCUUCGCAUCAAUAAAUAUUUUCCAUGACAUUGCACCCACUUUCAUGCAAAAUUUUUAAAACGAAAAAAUCAAUUAAGAUUUUAAUUAUUAAACCCAUAAGACCAUAACCUAUUUACAUACCCAAACCCAAACCCAAAGUAAAACAUUAAAUCCAAAUUCCCAUUAAAACUCGUUAUUCUUACAAAAUUAUAGCCUAUUAAAACUUUAAAAUCCAAUACGUUUUCUGAGUCAUGCUAUUCCAUAAGUGCAGAGGUAACCCAUGAACUUCAAGCCAAGUUGCCCUUCGCUCAGGAAGGAAAUCAACUAACCUACAUCAUCUGAUUAAAAGCACAAUAACUCCACAACAUCUGAUUGACAGCACAAGUUAAUUGAAUUACCAAGAAUCAAUAUCAAUAAAAAAGAAUAGAGAUUAAAUAUAAGAUGAAAUCAACCAAGCCAAGCUGGCAAUGUCUAAGCCAAAAUAUUCAUUUACCCCAUUUCAAUCCUACAAUAGUCAAGAUUUGACUAAACUUUGCAACCUAUACAAGUCUUUUUGGGAUUUUGACAAAAUAUAAAUAAAAAGCCCCGAGAAGAUACUUAAAACAUUCACUCAUCCAUGGCAACUGCUUGAAAGAAUUGGGGUUGUCAUCUAGCUCAUAAUCAAAUACAAGGUCAAUACCGAAUUCUAGCACAGAUAAAUCUGAAAGAACCCGAAGAGUAAUAUGAUCACCGGCUUCUAGUUCACCACCCCUAAAGUCCCAACAAGUAAACUAGUAUAAGGUAUUCUUGGUUCCAAGAAUUCCUGUGAAAUGUUUGGAGUAGGUCCACUUUGUACCUUUGGUCUCGUUCACAAUUUCAAGGAAUGGUAAAAUUUCAUUUGUAUUAUCAUUCUUGGCAGAAAAAAUGAUAAUCGAAUUUAAGAAGCAACUACUCUUUCGACUAGAGUUUGGGGGCACUGAUAAUGAAACCUCAGUCUUGCCAACUUGAUUGCCAAAGUAAUGGCCAUAGUAAUCAAAAGGCAUUGGAUCAAAUACUGUAAUUAUGCCAUAAUCACUACACCAAAAUAAGCUUUUAACAGCGCUUUUUAGCGCCACUAAAAGUAUUUGCGGCGCUUCUAGUAGCGCCGCAAAAAAUGCCGCUAUUGACAGUGCCGUUAACCUUUGCGGUGUUUAUUUCUAAAAACGCCGCUAAAGAACAAGACCUUUAGCAGCGCUUUUUCCACAAAUGCCGCUAAAGAACAAGACCUUUAGCGGCACUUUUUUCACAAACGCCGCUAAAGAACAAGACCUUUAACGGUGCUUCUUUCACAAACGCCACUAAAGAAUAAGACCUUUAGCGGCGCUUUUUCACAAACGCCGCUAAAGAACAAGACCUUUAGCAACACUUUUUCCACAAACGCCGCUAAAGAACAACACCUUUUAACAACGCUUUUUCCACAAACGCCACUAUAAAACAAAACCUUUUACAACGCUUUUCCCAAAAACGCCGCUAAAAAACAUGACCUUUAAAAAAAUAUUUUAAUUAGAUAAUAUUUAUUUUUAUGAUAAAUAUUAUAUCAUGUUUUAUUUUUGAAACUUAAACUUUAAACUAUAUACAUUUUAAGGAUAAAAAUAUUAAUUAAAUUAAAUUUUCUAUUAAAAUUUUAACUUUAAAACUAAAUAUAAAAAUUAAUAAAUUUAAAUUUAAAAUUUAAAUAUUAUGUUUAAAUAAAUGAACAAUCUAUCUCACAAUUCAUCUGAUCUAUAUUAACUCGGCCAAUUAUAAAAGAAGCUACAAAACAAGUAAUAAUUAACAAUCAUAGCUACAAAACCCUAUUUCAAUAGCAUUAAAUUCAAAUUCUGACUAAGAUAAAUGACCAUGGAAUGCAACAUUAAAUAACAUUCCACUUGAAGAAAUGCUAAGCCUUGGCUUUUCCAGCUUGAAGAGAUUGAAUCCUUUACUACACCUUCAAUAUCUAAAGGAUGCAAAACCAAAUGAUCAGAUAAACCAACAAACUUGAUAAACAAGAGAGAUGUUAAAAAUAAAAAAUAUAUAUUAGAUACAUACAUACAUAUAUAUAUCAUUAGACACGUUAAAGACGUUAAAAAGAUGUGAACAUAUGAUAAAGACUUCUAAACUAGACACAUUACCCAGAUUUAGCAUGGGUAUAUUAGAUACAUACAUACAUACAUCUAUAUCUAUAUCUAUAUAUAAUACAAGUAUAUUAAAAAAAAUUAAAACUUCUUGUCAUAUGUUUAAAACAUCAUACCUCAUUUCUAAAUAUAUAUAAAAAAAAUAGAGUGAAGAUUUAAUAAAUUAGACUAGCAAACAAUAACACCAUUAUAUGUCAUCAGUUCAGAGCAUGUAUAUACACGGUAUUAUCUAACAUAUAUGAUAGAACAUUCAGCUACAAGAUUCCAUCAGCAUGUUAGCUAGAACAAGGUAUCUGGAAAUGAACCCACAAGAUGAAAAGAUAAAUUUGAAACUUUAUCUAAUUGGGGAAAAGACAAGACCAAGUGGAUUUAAUGAAAGGCAUACGAGGAUUUAUUUAUUGGAUAAGAUACUAAUAAUAUUUGCAAUAUCUUUACUCUAGGAUAGUGUUCUUCUUUUCCAACCAAAUUUAUCCCUACUUUGUCUCUCUUUAUUUUUCCUCCCCUAGAUCUCACUAACUGGGAUUUUCUUCAUUUUCCUCCAUAUUACAAUCUGUCCUCAAACUUUAUGCCUUUAGUAGCAAUUAUUUAUUGCUUAUGUCACUUUUGAUAAAAGAACCUUUUGCCUCAAAGUACCCCUCAAACAUGUUCAGAGAAAUGCAAUCCAUUUUAAACAUUUGUUACGGGUGAUCACCCUAGUGCUAUAAUGGGAUUAAACCAGUAGGCUAAAAGAGCUUCAGCUCCCAUGUCAAAUAUUAUGCUACCAAUGAAAGAGAAAGGAGGAUCGUGCAUCAAACAGAAAAUGUGAAAAACUAUAUUAGACAAUAAUCAUACUUUAGGCAUUGUAUACGUCUCUGAUUUCCAGCUUCAUCAUAGCUCUUGAAAGCUUCAAAGAAAUUUGUGGCUGCCUCAGCCCACUGACGCUCAGCCAUAUGCAUCUUGCCACCACAUUCACGAAUUAUUCCUAUGAUCCUAGAAUGUGGUAUUGCAGACUUGACAGCAAGUGCUUUCUGGUAUAAUUGCUGCAUUAAAACCAAUAUCUCAGUCACAGCUAAGCCAUUAUAUAAAGACCAAACCAGGACAUAACUAUAUAACUUUGUAAAACAAUUAUCAGACAGAACCAAGGUUGGUUUUUCAGCUAUAAUAUAAAAUAGAACAAAGUUACAAUUAUCAGUCAGGAAGAGAAGUAGCGACCACAUGCAAUUGAGACUAAACAACAGUGAAAACUUCUCGAUUUCAGUAUUAAGGAUUAACUAAUAGUGCUUCAUGCUAAUGUAAACAAUGUCAUUGACCAGGAUCCAGAUAACCAAUCCAGACUACAAGUGAAUAGACUUUAGUAGUUUAAAUUUGAGAGUUGCUAGAAUUCUAAAAAAUAGCAAAAUCAAGACACAGGUGAACUUUCACGCCUAAAGUUCUACAUAUUUCAUAUUUUAGUUUAACAUUGCUUCACUUGAAUUCCAGAAGGAAGCAUACUUGAUAUCCGCAAAGCAGAAAAUUGGGUACAUAUUCUACCAUGUAUUUUUAUUAAAUGGUAGAUAAAUGGUGACAGCAGAAACAAUAUAAACUAGCUUUCAGUAAUAGACCUUUACAAGAGAAUUACAACUGCUUAUGUGCCCCUCCUGAAUUGCCACUUGUAAGUAAUCAUAUUUGACAUGUAACAGGCUUUUCUUCAGCUGCUCUUCAACGAUAUAAUCAACGAAAAUGAAGAUAUUUAAUUAUGAAUCUGCGUUCAAAGAUAUAAUCAACGAAAACGAAGAAAUCUAAGUAAAUCUUCAUUAACUUUGAUUUACGAAGAGCAGCACAGGGGAAGAAGAAAUAGUGCAAAUCCCGACCUAGAGCGUCAACACACAGGAAAAAAAUAUUAAAAAGCAAAUCCAGUCAACAGCUAUUACCAGACGGCGUUUAUUUCAUGUUCCAACCUUUAAACGACAACAACCAAAAAUAAAAAAAUUAAUAAAGUGAUAAUUUUUCCUUUUCUCCCCCCCCCCGGCUUUCAUCUUCUUCACAUUAUUUCCUCUUCAAUUCGUUUCAAGUGGAUUCCAAGUGGGUCAUUGGCUCUCCAACAUAUUUGACAGUCUUCUUGAAAAACGUGUCCUGGUUGAGUACCUUCUCUGCCUGUAAGAUUUACAAUAGAAACGAAAAAAAACACACACACACAUACACAGCUGAAAAUGCUUAGAAAAUGGAUGAGAAAUAUUAGUUACUUCUGAUUUUAACAUUCCCAGGAGAUUAAGUGAUCCAUGAUACCCAAAGACAAGCAUGGCCAGUUGAAGGAACAUGAUGCAAUAUGCAACAACUUAAGGCAUCUGAAUCCCAAACCAAGGCAUCAACGAGCAUUUGGAACCCCUCCUCUCCUCCUAGUAUCACAAAGUUCCUGUCAAUUAUCAUUUCCUUUUCCCAUUAGAAAACAAAUCAAAACCCCCAUACCAUAAUAAAUCAAAACUUUGCUACUCCAUAUAUAUACACAUAUAAUAUCAGAAAAAAAAUAUAUAGGGAAGAAGAGACCUGUUGUAUGUAAAGAUUAAGAGUCUCAUCAGAAAAAUAUAUAUAUAGGGAAGAAGAAAAAAUAGCAAUGGGCAUUGAGUUAAAAGUUUUAAAGGACUGUGUGUUUGUAAACUUGGGGGUUUUAAGGGGGAAAAUUAGGGAUUUCAGGGGGGAAAGAUUGCAGGGGAAAAUUUAUAAAUGGCGCCAUUUUUUUUAAAGUAAAUUACUCUGUGGUGUUCUUAUAAAAAAAAAAGUCUCUAUUGCUUAUUUUUUGCGGUAUUUUUCAUAAAAAUGCUGAGAAAGUUAUUUCAUGCUAAAUUUUUUUUUAUUAUUUUUAUAAAUUGAUUUAUUUUUUGUGGCGUUUCUAUAAAAAACGCUGCUAUUGCUUAUUUAUAAAAACGUCGCAAAAAAUUAUUUCAGUUUGAAAAAAUUACGUUGUUUUGCUGUGCUAAAAAUUUUUUAUUUUGUUUUUUUUAUAAAUUGAUUUAUUUUUGCGGCGCUUUUAUAAAAAACGCCUCAAAAAAAUAUUUCGUUUUGAACAAAAUGACGCCGUUUUGCUAAGCUAAAUUUUUUUAAUAAAUUGAUUUAUUAUCGAAAAACGCCGCAAAAAAUUAUUUAGUUUGAAAAAAUGACGCCGUUUUGCUGUGCUAAAAAUUUUUUAUUUUAUUUUUUUAUAAAUUGAUUUAUUUUUGCGGCGCUUUUAUAAAAAAUGCCGCAAAAAAAUAUUUCGUUUUGAACAAAAUGACGCCGUUUUGCUAAGCUAAAUUUUUUUAAUAAAUUGAUUUAUUAUCUUUUGCGGCGUUUUUCAUAAAAACGCCGCAAAAAAUUAUUUCAAUUUGAAAAAAUGACGCCGUUUUGCUGUGCUAAAAAUUUUUUAUUUUGUUUUUUUAUAAAUUGAUUUAUUUUUGCGGCGCUUUUAUAAAAAACGCCACAAAAAAAUUAUUUCGUUUUGAACAAAAUGAUGCCGUUUUGCUAUACUAAUUUUUUUUAAUAAAUUGAUUUAUUAUCUUUUGCGGCGUUUUUAUGAAAAACGCCGCAAAAAAUUAUUUCAGUUUGAAAAGAUGACGCCGUUUUGUUGUGCUAAAAAUUUUUUAUUUUGUUUUUUAUAAAUUGAUUUAUUUUUGCGGCGCUUUUAUAAAAAACGCCACAAAAAAAUUUAUUUCGUUUUAAACAAAAUGAUGCCGUUUUGCUAUACUAAUUUUUUUAAUAAAUUGAUUUAUUAUCUUUUGCGGCGUUUUUCAUAAAAACACCGCAAAAAAUUAUUUCAGUUUGAAAAAAUGACGCCGUUUUGCUGUGCUAAAAUUUUUUUAUUUUAUUUUUUUAUAAAUUGAUUUAUUUUUGCGGCGCUUUUAUAAAAACGCCGCAAAAAAAUUAUUUUAUUUUGAACAAAAUGACGCCGUUUUGCUAUGCUAAAUUUUUUUAAUAAAUUGAUUUAUUAUCUUUUACGGCGUUUUACAUAAAAACGCCACAAAAAAUUAUUUCAUUUCCAACAAAAUGACGCCGUUUUGCUAUGCUAAAAAUUUUUUAUUUUGCUUUUUUUUUAAAUUGAUUUUUUAUAAAAUAAAAAACCAAGUACUCUCAAAAUAAAUAUUGUAUAUUUUAAUAAGAAAACAAUUGAUAAAAUGGCUGUAAUUAAUUAUUAAGUUAGAAUUAUCCAAAUUAAAUAAUUACCUAUAUAUCCAUAUCAUUUUUAUUUUUGUAUUUUUUUCCUUAUAAUUUGGUCCUCUCCAAAAUAAAUACCUAAAUAUCCAUAUCAAUCUAUUAUUUUUUUAACUUAUUUAUUAAUUCUAUUUAAACUAAUAUAAAAGCAUUAAUUAAUUGUAUAAAAUUUUAUCAUUUAACAAACCUAAAGUAAACCUAAACCUUAAACCUAAAUUAACCAUUCAAUACAUAUAAAGUCUAUCUAUUAUAUAUCUCUUAAAUAAUUUAAACUAUACUCAUAAAUUCAAUAUAUUUGAUUUAUUAUUAUCUCUUUUACAAUUAUAUAAGAACAUAUUUAAAAUAUAAAUUAAAAAAUAAUUAAUCUAAACUCAAAACCUUAACCCGACCCCUAAAUUAGUAAACCUUAAAUCCUUAACUCUUAACCCUUAAUGUCUAACCCUAAACCCCUAACCCCUAAACCUUAAAUCUAAACCCUUAAUCCAUAAUCCCUAAUCCAUAAUUCAUAAAUCCAUACUCUUAAACCUUAAAAUAUGAACUCCUAAAUCAGCCUUAAAUCUUAAAUUAAUUAUAUACCCUAAACUAAAAACCCUAAACAAAUUUAUUAUUAUCUCUUUUACAAUUAUAUAAGAACAUAUUUAAAAUAUAAAUUAAAAAAUAAUUAAUCUAAACCUAAAACCAUAACCCGGCCCCUAAAUCCCUAACUUUUAACCCAUAAUACCUCUAACCCUCUAACUCCUAAACCUUAAAUCCCAACCCUUAAACCAUAAUCCCUAAUCCAUACUCCCUAAACCUUAAAAUAUGAACUCCUAAACUGGCAUUAAAUCUUAAAUAAAUCAUAUACCCUAAACCAAAACCAUAAAUAAAUUUAUUAUCAUCUCUUUUCAAUUAUAUAAGAACAUAUUUAAAAUAUAAAUUAAAAAAAUUAAUCUAAACGCCCAAAAUCCUAACUCGACCCUUGAAUCCCCAAAACCCUAAAUCCCUAACUAUUAACCCUUAAUGUCUAACCCCUAAACCCCUAACCCUCUAACCCUUAAACCUUAAAUCUCAACCCUUAAACCCUAAAACCCUAAUCCAUACUCUAUAAGCCCAUACUCCCUAAACCUUAAAAUAGUAACUCCUAAACAGGCCUUAAUUAAAUCUUAAAUAAAUCAUAUACCCCAAACCAAAAAACCCUAAACUAUAGUGAAAAUUAAUUCAAUAUUUUAAAAUUAAUACUAUCUCUUUUAUGAUUAUAUAAGAAAAUUUUUAAUAAAUAAAUUAAAAAACAAUCAGUAAUCAUGUACCCAAAAAACUUUAAAAUUAUUUUAAAUAAUAGUAUUUUAAUUUUUCUAUGUGUUUUAUUUCAAAUUAUUUCUACGUAUCAUUAUUUUUUUCUGAAGAUUUUAAAUAUUCAAUUAGAAAUAAAUUGAAUUUUAUUUAAUAUAAAUAAACCAAUUAAGAUAAAAUAUUUUUAGCGGCGCUUUUCCAAAAACGCCGCUAAAGCCCCAGCAUUAGCGGCGCUUUUCCAAAAAUGCCGCUAAAGCCCUCAGCAUUAGCGGCGCUUUUUCAAAAAUGCCGCUAAAGCCCCGAAAUGUAACAAAACGACAUCGUUGGGCUUUGGUUUUUUGCGACGUUUUUUCGAAAAACGCCGCUAAUGCCCAUUUUUACCAGCGUUUUUCAAAAAACGCCACUAAUGCUCGAUCUUUAGUGGCGAUUUCCAUAAAGCGCCGCUAAUGCUCGAUUUUUACCUGCGUUUUUUGUCCAAGCACCGCUAAAAGUGCCGCUAAAAGCCUGUUUUGGUGUAGUGAAUCGUAUAGUACCUGUAGCAUUGGGUUAAGGAAUUAGUUAUUAAAAAUAUAUAGUAUAUAAAUAAAUUUGAAACUUGGAACUCGUAAGGAACCUGUGGGGAAGAAACCACUUUUGAUUCUUCUAUAUAACUGCAAAGUUGCACUUUAACAUUUCCAUAAGAUUCCAAACUGAGUAAGUUUUUAGUUAGGUCCAUCUUGAUAUUUCUUGGGGAAACUUCAUCUCCUAAAAUGUGUACAAUAAUGUGUUAUUUAUCAAUUUUAAUGAUCAUCAACAUAAUAUGCCUAUUAUAAUACCAAAGUAUUAAUUUUGACAUGAAAAAAAACGUUGCUUAAAGUUUUUAUCAGACACCCAUAUAAUAUGGGUUUAAACUGUGUAUGAAAAAAAAUAUCAAACAACUAAUUUUAUGUAUUAUGACUAAAAUAUGUUAUAAGACUUGUUAGAAAUAACCAAUUAUACACUUUUUUGAAAAAAAAAUCAAUUAUAUCAUUAUCUUUUAUUUUUAUAUAAAAUAUCAACUUUAAAAAUACCACUUUGAACUUCAUCCAUUAUUUUAGUUUCCACUUAGGUGAUAGAUUAAUCAUCUAUCAAACAAUUAACUUAUUUUGAUUAGACCUCAAUUGCAACAUAAUUUUAUAAUUAUUAUUUUAUUAUUAAGCUAAAUUUCUCUCAGAAUCUAUUAAAUGAUCAGAUUUCUUAAGUAAUAUUUUUAUUGUAUUGGAAAGUCUUUUAGAGAAACAUAUAUCAAUUUUUGAAUUUUUUUUAUUGACAUCUAAAAGGAAACAUAUGUUCAAACAAUCUAAAGGGGGCAUUAAAAUAAAUAUAAUAGGAUGUAUUAACUAAAAUACAAUCUUACCGUCGAAAACACAAUUAGAUAUUCAUAUAAUUCAUUAUUUCAAUAAGGAUAUAUCUUUUUAGCCAUGUGUUUUACUCAUUAAUGUUAAUAGUGCAUUGGGUAAUAUGCCAUAAACAUAAUUAUUUGAAAUCUACUCAUACCUGUAGAUAAAUAUGAAAAACCAUAUUUAUAUCUAAUGUUGUGUUCGGAUUCAUAAGUAACGCCAAAUUUUCUUACGCUGAGAUGAAUAGGCAUUAUCAUGCAACUCACAAGGUCACCACCUUCAAACUGACAAUCCGUUACUGGCCAAUGAAUCAACCACAACAUUGUGUUAUCGUUAGUCUUAGGAAUUCCGAUGAAACUUGAGCGAUAUCUCUGCAUGAUCCUUUUGGUCUCAUUGAAAAUGUAGACACUUGGUAGAAGGUCCAAUAUUUGAUCACUAGCUAAGGAGAAAACAAUGCAUAAGCUGAACCGAUGGAUCUUUUCAUCUGGAUGAGAUGGUGUUGGCAAAGAAAAAGAGAUUCGGUGCUCGUUAGUGCGAUGCUUAAACACAAUAGGAACUUCACUUCCUAUAACAAAUGUGCUUGUUAUACCACAUUCCUGCAAGACCUGAUCCAAAAAAAACAUGUUAGAUGAUUACGAAUGUGUUGAUUAAGUAAUAUAAGACAAAAAGAAAAAGAUUUAAAAUUUAAGUUGGAGAACUAUUGGACCUGUGGGGUAGCAAGCAUUAUGUUGUCCGUUAGGCAAUUAUAAAGUCGCACUCGAUUUUUGUUGACGGAAUUCACGUUGAAUAAUCUUCUAAUCUCUUCCGCAUCAAAGUUUUCAAUUGGCUCCAACUUGAAUAUAUCUUGAACCUCGGUCAAUUUUUCACAUCCAAAAAUAACACAACGUUUGGAAGAAAAGAAGCAUGGAAGAAUUGACCUAGAGUUUUUUACUGCAAAUACUGUCGAGAACCCAGAAACAUUGGGCAAGACCGGAAGCUUUGGAAUCAUUUGGAGUUCAGUGCAAGAAGUCAAUAGAAGUUCAUCAAGUUUUGUAAGUUCUUUUAAGCUUUCGGGUAGGUAAUGAAUUGGGUUUCUACUUAAAUUUAAGGAUUUCAAGGAAGCCAAGUUACAAAGAUCAUUGGGCAUGACAUCAUCAGAUAAUUUGCAACUUUCAAGGCUUAACUUUACCAAAGAGCCCGGUAGAGAUGCCCAAGAGAAACCCAAUCCUUUGCUUCUUUUCAGUAAGAGCCACUGCAACCCCAAUCUUGAUUGAUAUAUGGCAGUUUCAUCUAAAUUAAGCACCUUCAAUGAUUCCAUAUUAUGCAACGCCCUAGGAACAUCAUCAAGUCUUGAACAACCAGAUAAGAUAAGCUCUUCAAGUGAUAUUAAUGAACCAAUUGUCCUUGGAAGUUUCCUAAGACUUGUGCAAUCUUUAAGGUUCAAGAAAGUAAGCAUCUUUAGCUCACCAAUGGAUUGAUCAACUUCCACCAAAUUUAUGCAAUCUUUGAGCAUCAACUUCUCAAGGCUAGGGAGUCCUGAAAAGGUUGGGGUUUUAAGAAGGCUAUGUGAAUGGUUGAGAUUAAGGAUCUUUAAAUUUGGGAGGCACUGCACAAAAAGAAAACCCUUCAUUUAUAUAUUAUUGUUUCACACACACACAAAAAGAAGGAAAAUUAGUAUAUAUCAUACCUCUGUAUCCUUCCAAACUUGUUUAAGUUUACUGUUGCGCAUGUCGAGAACAACUAGUUCAUUGAUAUCAAAAUCCACCGGAAAAGAUUGCAUCCAAAACCCAUGCCAACGUAACCAUCUUAAUCUUUUGGGAAAGUCUUUGAAGUCUCCUUUAAGUCUUACAUAAUCCAGUUGAAGUAGUUUAAGUCUCUUCAUCUUUGCAAAUGCUUGAGUUUCCAUAUCAACAUCAUUUGCCAUGAGAAACUGACUUUUGGAAUGCUUUGGAAAAUGUAGAGUUGUAUUUGUCCUUUUAGCCUUGUCUUCUAGUAAUCCUUUUAGGUUAAUUGUGAGGCACUUAACUGUUCCGGAACCCUGCAUCAGAAAAACUUUUUUAAAAAAUAAAAAGAAAUUUGAUAAAAAAAAAGUAGUUUACAUGCACACAAGAAAAAAGUUGAGUAAAAUGAUGUUUCUUACAAUUUUUUCUCUUAUUACAUCAAAAGCUUCUUAUGCCACAAUCUGCUCCGUUUCCCAAUAUCAGAAGAUUCUUGACGAAUAAUUUCUCGUCCCAUAUCUCUAAUCAUUUGGUGCAUCAUUAACUUGUUUUUUUCAUUAAUGAUUAAGAGACCCUUGCCUACUAGAUUUUCAAUUCCUAUUGUUGUAUAGAAAUCACAACCAUCUAGAAUUGUAGUCGUGUAAUCUCUAUCCUUCCCAAUGAAUAAACAAACUAUGUCAAGGAAUAAAUUUUUGUCAUGAUCGUCUCCCAAAGAAUCAUAGCUUAUUCUUAGAAUCUUUUGAAUUUUGCUGUCAGGGAUUUCUUCCAAUUUCUCCAAUGCACUUUUCCAAGAACUCACACUUUUGCUAGAUAAUGAAGAGCCCAAAACUUGAAGAGCUAACGGAAGCCCACCACAGUGUUUCACUAAACUUCUUGCAUAUGCCAUUGAACUUUCAGGCACAGAGUUAUGACCAAAAGCAUACCAAUUAAAAAGUUGUAGCGAUUCACUUGAAGCUAAUUCUUUUACUUCAAAUAGCUUGCUUAAGCCUCCACAACUAGUUGAUGCUUCUGAAUCAAACAUUUGGCUUAUAAAAUGUGCAUUCAAUAGGCAUCGGUUUCUACUAGUUAUGAUGAUUUUACUUCCCAGAUGAAAAGGAAUUUGAGUUCCCAUUAAUUUUCUUAUUUUUUCCAAUUCAUCAACAUCAUCAAGAACAAGAAGAACUCUUCUACAACAUAAAACUUCUUUGAUCUUGUUAAUUCCAUUAUCUAUAUUGUAUAUUUUAUGUGAUUUUCCUUUAAGAAUAUCUGAAAUAAGUUGCCUUUGCAAACGGACUAAACCAUUGCAAUCUUGACUUGUUUCUCUAACAUCAGCAAGGAAACUAUAACCUUCAAACCUCGGGAUGUUUUGAUUGUAAACAACUUUGGCAAUGGUUGUCUUCCCAAUGCCUCCAAUGCAACAAAUAGUUGCAAUGCCAACUUUAUUUGCUCCAUCUUGUUCUAACCAUUGAUUAAUUUGUGGCACAAGAGAAUCUAUUCCAACUAAAUAAGGAGGGACAUACAAAGAAAUAAGAUGAAGUUUAUUUUGAACUUCUUUAACAAUAUCUUGGAUGAAUUGUGAUUCAUGCCUGCAAAUUUAAAAAAUACAACUCAAUGGUAAAAUUUUAGAAAUUAAGUAAAAGUUACUAAUGUAUUUUCUUUUUGCUUGCAUAUAUUUUGAUUGUUUUUAUGAGAUUAUAUGUUCAAGUAAAAAUAAGAAACUAUGCAACAUUUCAAUAUAUAUGAUAGAAUUAUUACAUUCAAAAUCAAAUCAAAUCAAAUAAAGCAACAUAAAAAUUAAUGAAAUUCAUUGGAGAAACAACCUAUACUCAAAAUUUCAACUUUCUCUUUGUGAAAGUUUAAUAAAUUCAUGUUAUUUACAUGAAUUUAUAUAUUUAUUUUUUAUUUAUUAUAAUAUUUUGAAUAUGUGUAGACUUAUUACACGAAUAACUUGGAUAUAAUUGUUGCAAAUAUUUUACCGCAAAAUAGAAUUAUUAAGGAGACCAAACUGAAUGUAAAUAAAAUAAGAACCAUUGUGUUGUGGAAGAACCACUGUAAUAUUAGAGGCAAAUUCGCCCUGAUCGGUGUAAUCGUGUAGUGGAUGUUACCCCCCAACACAAUACUCCAAUAUUCGUAAACCCAAUAAAGAAGAUGGAACACGAUUGACAAUACUCCAAACAGUCCUACUUAAAACCUAGUCUCUUAGACAGAAUUUCCCUCUCGUGUAAUUUUGUAGAACACUAGAAUUUAGAGAACAUAGAGAAGUUGUUUUUCUCUUGUUAUGUUAGGUAGGAGAAUGACCUCCUAUUUACACUAUUUUUUGAUGAGCAAAAUGGUAAAAUAAAAGUUUUAGUUUAUAAAAAUAACAAAGGAUUUUUCUAACUGAAAAUAUUCUAAAAAUAUUUUCUGCAACAGUCAGAAUAUUUUCCACAAUUCAAAAUAUUCUUUUGCAUUACCAACAAUGACAUCUUAGAAAACCACAAAUAGUGUCAUUAAAUUAAAGAGGCUAUUUCUUUUUAUUUUUAACUCGUCAAAUCCAAGUUGUUCAUGUGAUAGGUGCAAACAUAUUUAAAAUUUGAUCUAUGUCUUUUAAAAACAUCCCAUAUCAGAUUCGAGCUAACAUUUAAUGCUUAAGCUGAUGAUUUAUUUGAUAGAAAGACCUCAGUGAUACAAUACUAAUAUUUUAAUGACUCAAUUAAAACAUGUUAAUGUUUGAGAAAUAAUUUAAAAUCUGUGUUAUAAUUAACCCUCUAAAAUGGAUUGAAGUAACCAUUUUAAUUUCCUAAUGCUACCUAACAAUAUUUUCUAUUAAUUUUCUUUCUACUCUAGCAAGUCUUAAUGAAAAAGAUUGAAGUAACCAUAUGAAACUUGAUUAUGUGUAUAACGUACCUGUCUUGUAGAACCAUGCCUCCUAUAGCCGCAACUUCUUUUAAAGCAUUCCUCCAUCUUUGUACCAUGUUGGUUUCGGACUCGAAGUUUUGUUCAUGUUGGGUAAAUGCUUCUGCAUAACUUCCCGUCUGGUUCUUGGCUUGACUCGGAUCCACAUCAUAGAAAACUGGCAACACAAUAUGUUUAGAGGAUUUCUUGUGCUCCAAUAUCAUUACAAGUUCGUUAAGACACCAUGUGGAUGCAGCAUAAUUCUUUGAGAAAACAACGAUAGAAAUUUUGGAGUGGUGUAGUAUUGCUUUUUCAAUUUCAUCUUUUAUGUUAUUCCCUCUCUCGAUUUCCUCAUCAUCUCUAAAUGUUUGAAUUCCUAAGUGCACCAAAGCUGUGUAAAGAUGAUCCGUGAAACUUUUGCGCGUAUCUUCACCUCUAAAACUCAAGAAUACAAGAUAACUACAUCGCGAGAUUUCUGACACUGCCAUUGAAGAAGAAAAUGAAGUCGUCCUGUAUUUUUUAUGUAAUAACAAGGUUCCAGCAUAUAUAUAUAUAUGAAUGGCAAAGCAGAUAUUAUUAGCAGUCAAGUGGCCGUUCCCAAUCCAUGGUGGGUCAAUCCUUCGACCAGUUCAUACAACUGCCCGAAGAAAUUCAUGUCGGCCAUGUUGUGUUUUUCCAAAUCUACCAACUUGGGUUACGUAUUCUAUAUUAUUAAUUUUGCUUGACAAAUACAAUGUAUUGAUUAACUUGAUGGUUAUAGCUAACACAACACGUAUAUAGACAUCAUCUUCAGGCUAAUAUUAGUAAAAAUAUUAUGAAGGUUCUUGUAUUUUAAGUCAUAUUAUAUUUUGUUUUCUCUACUUAAAAAAUAUUAAAUUAGUUUUUGUAUAUUAUAUUAAAAAGUAAAUUAGUUCAUUUGUUAAAAAAAUUAUCUAUUGUUAUUGUUAAAAAUUGAUCCAUGUAAUCAACAUGAGGUAUAUGUGACACGCCACAUGCAACUAUCUGAUUAUUUCAUCAUUCACUUUAGUUUUUAACAACAAAAAUGAAUGAAAUUUUUAAUAAAAAUGAUAAAUUUGUUCUUUUAUAUAAUGUAUAUGGACUAAUUUGCUUGUUUUUAAAUAAAAUGGGUUAAGUACAAUUUGACUCUCAAUAGAAUGAUCUCCAUGAUACUUUUACCGGCUAAUACCUUGGUGGAUACACUCAAUAAUUAAACCACAACCACAUAUAUCACAUAGACAUCACAUUAAACAUUCAAGCUCGGUAUAGUAAAGAGACAAUUUUAGUAUCUAUGCGUGAAUGAAGAAUUAAUUGUUUUUGGAAAAGAAUUGGUGAUUAAAUUGAUCAGAUCAUCAAUUUUUUUAUUUGAUUUGUUCGUGUUAUCUAAAAUAAAUAAAUUUUUAAAGACUAAAAAAUAAUAAAAAAUAAAAAUUCACUUAUAUUGCACAUUAAAGUAAAUUGAAAAUGUGAAUUGAGAGGGACAUAAGAGAAGAAGAAUAAUUCCGAAGUAUUUGGUAUGGAAAAUAUCGGUACUAGAAAACGCGUUUCAAUCGCUUUUCAUCUCGGAGUCAUGCUUACGGUCCAUUAUUUGGUGCUCAACAUUUGGUCCAUUUGGUGGGGAAAAUUCAACGAAUAUUCUUACCAUAUCUAUUUUAAAAUUUUAAUAUAAUUAAUGAAAAACAAUUCACAUAUAUGAAUCAUCAAAUUUGACGUGCUUAGAGAACCUCAUGUGAUGACCUGAUGAUUAAGAUUAUUCAUAAACCCAAAUGUGGUCUAGAUUUGAAUCGUGUUACUUGCGUUGGUUAUUCGAGCUUUACCUGUUAUUGUAAUUAAAAAAUUAAUAUAAUUAAAUAAAUAUUGAAUUUUGUCACGUUUAAUAUAGAGGACGUAAGAGGAGGAGGAGGAUAAUUCCCAAGUACUUGGUGCGGAAAAUAGUGGUACUAGAAAACGCGUUUCAAUUACGUUUCAUUUUGGAGGCAUGCUUACGUUCCAAGACUUUAGACCAUUAGCAAUUAAAGAGGGGCUUCAACAAAAUUACAUAAUAAAUUCGUGGGCUAACCAAUUUCAGUGCAAUAAAAGUAGUGAAGAGGAUGGGAUAAGGUUAAGGUUUACAUUGUUGGUAAUGCAAAGUGGAAUCUCUCGUUACAGCCUUCAAAUUUUUUGGUUCACAAUAUUUUAGGAAGAACUCGAUUCAAAUAAUAUUUUUUUCGUGAUUAUUUUUUUCAAUAAUAUUAUUUUUAAAAUUCAGAUCUAUAUUUUUUUAAAAGUAUAAUAUGUAUUAUCAUUAUGUCUAACAAUUGCUAAUUAUUCAAAUAAUAAUGUUAACAAAAAGGUUGAGCACCAAAUGGUUGAUAAGUACUAACAAGCUCAUGGUCUAAAGUCUAGAUCGAGUAGCACUAUUAUCCAAAACGUAGUGAAACAAAUUAAUUCUUUCUCCGAUGUUUAAUUAUCAAUUUUAUUUUUGGGACUCCAUAACUAAAAUUUAGCUAAUCCCUUUAUUCAAGAGUGUAAUUAUUCGAAUAGGAUCAUAUCUCUUUUAUGGUGGAAUACUAAUUCAUUUUAUUACAUGGACUUAUUCAUAAAAAUUCUCUUAAAAUAUCGAACAAAUAUCAAUUGGGUGUUCUGAUUUAAAUAUUUAGUUUUUAAGAGAACAUAUUCUUACCUCAUUAUGCCUUCUCGAAGAUUUAUGUCAAAUCCAAACUGAUGUGAGUUGGUAGGCGUGAUGAUAAUCAAUUCUCUAAUAUUUCAAGGAGUUUUGUCCAUAAGUAAAAGUCUUUGGUAAAAGUAUUAGAUAAGUAAUUGAUAAAAAAUUUCAUUCUAAAGUACUUGGAUGCUCAUCUAUUAACACAUGUAAACAUCCUUACCAUUUAUUUUAAAGUAAUUAAUAUUUCAAGUAGUUGUUAGAUUAUUAACACAUGUAAACAUCCUUACCAUUUAUUUUAUAAAUAUCUAAUAAUUAGGAUGUUCAUCUAAAAUAUUUAAUUUUCUAGAUAAUAUCCUAUUUAAUAUUUUUAAACAUUCAUGAAGAAUUUUAUGUACUUUUAUUGAAUGGAAUAGAUUAUUUUUCCUAAUAGAGGAACCACGAGAAGCAGGAUGUUUUCCCUUGACCUAUUCAAAAUGUACUUGGCAACUUGUUCUUGUAAGGAAAACCAUAAUAAUUUUUCCUGUUUGAAAUCUUGGAAAUCUUUUAAAUUAAUCGAAUCAUCUCACUCGAAUACUUUAUUAGCUUUAUACAAAUUAUUCUUCGCAUCAAUAAAUAUUGUUCAUGAUAUUGCACCCACUUUCAUGCAAAAUUAUUUCUCCCAUGUAAGGAAUAGUCUCCAUGAAUUACUGUCAUCUUUUAGUUUAAGAUGAAUAAAUUUCGAUCAGUAAUAACUUUCUUGAUGAACAGGAUAUCUAUUUUGAUGACAUGAUAUGAUUUCUUUUGAUUCAAUAAAGACAAUUGAUGACUAGAAAUUGAACGACUUGGGUUUAUAUACAAUUAUAACUAUUUAAAGUUUAAAGUGUUCAUGUCUUAGGGUAUAAUAUUACAGUUACAAGUACAAGAGAAGAGAACCAUUUUAAUAAUACACAAUACAUUUACAAUAUGACACACAUUUACCUUACUACAUUUUUCUUCUUUACAAUUACCUCUCACUCUCUUUUUACAUCAUAGCAAGAAUUAAAACUCCCAUCCUUAUUUAUAAAGUUUAGGGGUUGUUAGAUUAUUAACACAUGUAAACAUCCUUACCAUUUAUUUUAUAAAUAUCUAAUAAUUAGGAUGUUCAUCUAAAAUAUUUAAUUUUCUAGAUAAUAUCUUAUUUUUUAUUUUAUAUUCUGAGAAUCUUCCCAAUAAAAUAUCUCUUAAAAGAUAAGUAUAGAUAUACAACAUUUCUAUCUUUUAAACAUUGUACAUACAUAUUUUUUUAUGAUUGUGUAAAAACAAAUAUUGUACAUACAUACCUCUUUAAUGUCUUCUAAAAAUAAUAAGAAUAUAAAUACAUAUAUUCACGUACAACCCACGCCAUUUUGAACAUUAGUUUUACUCAAUGUUGUAACUGCCUUGCCUUAUAUUUUCUCUAUAUCCUAUAAUUUAACAUAAAACACCUAACAGAACACGUGUUACUACAAUAUUUUUGGGUGUCUUAUAAACUCAAAUUUUGUUUUAUUCUAUUUUACCAUCUUUCUUAUUCAUAGUUAAUAUUUAUUUUUUAUGUUUAAAAUAAUAUUAAAAGUAAAAAUUUAAUUAAAAUGGUUUAUUGCAUAAAAUUAAUAUAUAACUUAAUAUAUAUCAAGAAAAUUAUGAAUUUUUAUUUUUUAUAUUUUAUUUUUUCAAUAUAUUCAAAUUAAAUUUUUAAGUAAAUAAAUGUAAUUAAAUUAAAUUAAUACACAUAACCAACUCGGAAUAAAAACCUAAUUUUUUAAUCUUUUUUCUUAUUCAUAUGAUUUUAACUUUUGCCUUUUAUAUGUCAUCUAAGUGCACGUAUAGUAUCAUUCAUAACCAAACUACUAUUAAUGGAAGAAUCAACUUAAAAACCCUCAUCCAACAUAAAAGUUCCUCUUCAAAUUUAAAAACUCUCAUCCUAUUUGGAUUUGGAAAUUUCUUAUUUGAAUAAUUCUUACCUGAAAAAUCUCAUCUCAUCAAAAUAUUUUCUCUAAUCUGAAUUUACUAGGGUAAUCAAUGUUCACAAAAAGACCAUGUAUGCAUCACUUGAACAAAAUAACGAGAAGCAGCAAUUACUCUAGCUGUUGUUUUUUCUUUAACCUAGCCAACUUCAAAUUGGCUUCUCGGAUAGUUUCUCGCAAUUUCUUUAUCUCUCACUACACCAAAACAGGCCUUUAGCGGCAUUUUUAGUGACGUUUGAAUAAAAAAAGCCGCUAAAAAUGGAGUAUUAGCUUGAUCCUCCAAUGUUUGACGAGUCUUUGCCAAGUUAUCCUUUAGCCAUGAAAGGGAUCUCCAUGUCUUUCACCCUUACCAACAUAUCAUCGAUAUCAGUUAGCUCAAGCUUAUUCAGAUCGCUUUCUAAUCUUCAAUAAAUUUCAGCAACUGCAUUCAUAAUGUUGCUUUAAAACUCUUGAUUGUUCAAUUGAAAUUGGUCAGCAAAGUGAGCAUGGUUUUGAAAUAUUUUAUUGAGCGCGUCAGUAUUGUAUUGAGAAACCUCGUAUCUGUUGAUGAUGACAGCUGUGACAUCAAAGGUUGAGAAUAAAUGAAAUAAUUAUCUUCAAUAUAACUCAAAGAAACAAUAAAUUCAUGAAAUAGUAGCUUGCAGCCAUUACUUUGGAGCAAAUCAUCUAACCAACUUUUCUGAGCCACAAAAUCUCCACGUCUCCCGAAGCACCCAUAUGAUUAGAAGAUUCAGGAUUCAAAUGUGCUGGAGAAACCUAUAAGCAAAACAGAAUCAGAUAUUGGUCCAAAAAUAAGCAGAUAAAAUUAAAAACUUUACAACAUGAUAACACAAUAAAUAAGGAGAAGAGUAAACAGCAUUACGCAGAGAAUUAGAAACUGACAGCCUUCCUACUCAGGAUUUCUCUUUUUUUUUGUGUGUUUCUAGUUGAUAUUUCUUGUUUGAUUUGGUAUCUUACCAUAAAUGUGGGAUCAAUCAGACAGUCCUGAAAUAACUAUUUAAAGUUUAAGUGUUCAUGUCGUAUCUCUCUUACACUAUAAUAUUAAAGUUUUGGAUUAAAACUUCAACCUGGUACAUAAACUUGAAUGGACAAUAGCAGGAUAGCAUUCUCUCUACAACUACAUGUAAACAAGAGAAUGAAUGAAGAAAUUAAAGAAAAAAUGAAUAGUGAUGAUCCGAUCAGUUUAUAGUUUGCAAAAGAUAAAAUAGACAGCUCGUUAACGAAAUUAAAGGAAUGACAAGUUCUACAUACAUGCCUGUAGGAGUAAGUGAGAUGAGUUAAAAACUUAAUUGGUGAUAACUGAAUAUUGAACUUCAUUUUUGCAUCAUUCAUUACAAUAAUAGAAAAGAAGUUAGUGGACGAUACAUGCUUGCAUUUUCAGGUCAUAUUUUGCUCUGUGAAACUCAAAAUUCAAUUCAUACCAUCGUUUGGUCGCUUGUUUCCAUUUUCAAUGUUAAUUUCUCUACUCUUCCUCCCACAUGUAUUAGGGUAAAAUUCACUUUCUCAGCUAGUUUCUCUUAAUCAAUCAUCUUCAUUCGAAAUAUAUAAAGAUGAGUAGCAAAGUCAAACAGAAAACAGAACAAUAGAGGCAGACAAGUUACUAAAUGCUCACCUCUUUAAGAUUGUUCAAACAAAUUACUAAGACAGAAACGUUAUGGCAACGUUAAAAAGUCUACUCCUUAAUUAACUUGAUGAUAAGCUAUUUUGCAAGACUCAUGUUUGCUACAAUUACAUUUUUUUUUCUACAAAAGGGUUUUCAUGAUAAAUGUAAAACCUUAUACUCCAUUGAUUAAAAGAGGACAUCCUAACACUCCUUUUGCUAUAUAAAAACCUUAUAUAUAAUCCCUGCAUGUAAACUUCAAAUCGUACAAUAGACUCAUAAUUCAUACCUGUAAAUGUUCAUGCUUGCAAAUAAUAGGUAUAUAAAUAAUGACAGGAUCUUUAAUUACCUCUGAUGUCAGAUGUCACAACAGCCAUCGUCAACAGAUACGAGAUUCAUCAACACAAUGCUGACGCGCUCAAUAAAAUAUUUCAAAACCAUGCUCACUUUGCUAACCAAUUUCAAUUCAAUAAUCGAGAGUUUCAAAGCAACAUUAUGACCGCAGUUGCUGAAAUUUACCAGAAAUUAGAAAGCAAUCUGAAUAAGCUUGAGCUAACUGAUAUCAAUUAUAUGUUAGUAAGGGUGAAAGACACGGGGUCCCCGGUUUGGAGCUUUCAUGGCUAAAGGAUAAGUUGGCAAAGACUCGUCAAACAUUGGAGGAUCAAGCAGAGAUAAAGAGAUUGUAAGAAACUAUCCGAGAAGCCAAUCUGAAGUUGGCCAGGUUAGAGAAUAAACAACAGCUAGAGUAAUUUCUGCUUCUCGUUAUUCCGUUAAAGUAAUAGCAGCCAAGGCUCUGUCUAGCCUCUCGUACAAAUUACCGUGACACUUGGUGAAUUUUGGUCUUUGGAAUCCCAGGUCACAUAGAUGAUUAUUAGAGCAAAACGAUUGGAAAUGAGAACACCCCCUACCGCCUUUCCACUCAUCCAUACUUAGAAUAGAGUUAAAAUCACCGCUAAGAAUGGUUUUGUCAUAUUAUCUACAAUCAAACUUAAACAUUCCCAUAAAAUAUUCCUUUUAUUGAUUUGAGGACUAGCAUAAAUGAUCGAGACAAAGAAUUGUCAUUGAAGAGCAGACUCUUUAAUCUUAACAGUAGUUGAAAUACUUUCAUCGCCCAAUAUAAUUCGUAACAUUUUGACCACUACAGCCCAGCAACCCUGCAUAUCUUUUCCGAGGAAUAUUCUUACUUGAUCUAUUCAAAAUGCACUUGGCAACUAGUUCUUGCAAGGAAAACCAUAAUAAUUUUCCCUGUUUGAAAUCUUGGAAAUAUUUUAAAUCAACCGAAUGAUCUCACUCGAAUACUUUAUUAAUUUUAUACAAAUUACUCUUCGCAUCAACAAAUAUUAUUCAUGACAUUGCAUCCACUUUCAUGCAGAAUUAUUUUUAGUUUAAGAUGAGUAAAUUUCAACCAGUAAUAACUUUCUUGAUGAACAUCAUAUCUAUUUUGAUGAUAUGACAUGCUUUCUUUUGAUUCAAGAAAGGCAAUCAAUGACUUGAAAUUGAACCAUGAUUUUAAAGGACUUGGGUUUAUAUAAGUGGUAAUUCAAUUUCCUUUUCCUGGUUGGAAAAGGAAUUCCAUUUUGACUUUAACUGUGAUUUUUAAGUUGUUGUUUUCUUAUUGUUAAUUAUUUAAAAAUAAUAAUCGCAUUUUAACUUGCAAACUUAAAUCUUAAACUAUUAUCUUUAUGUUUACUUUCUGGUUAUAAUUAACAAAAAUAUUUGGUUUUAAAAUUUUAAAACAAUCAACGAAACACAAUUUACAUAUAUGAAUGAUGAAAUUUGACGUGAUUAAAUAAAAUGUUAAAUUUUGAUAUAUUUCUAAUAAUGAAUAUAGCCAAAAUGGUAAUAAAUCAGCAUUUUAAUGUCAUUUAAAAGGUGUCAAAUAAAUAUUAGAUUAGAUAUUCAAUAUUCAUAAUCAGUAUAUAUUAAUUGAAUUAGACAUUAUAAUUAGUCAUGACUAUCGAAAUUCAAAAUUGUAAAAAUUAAUAUAUAUUGAAUUAAAUGACUACCAUACAUAACCUUAUUCAAAUAAUAAUAAUGAAAAAAAGAGAGUGUUUAAGAUAAUUUCAUUGUAUUUGCUUGUUCUAUGAUCCAACUAUGGUAGGUAAGCAUGAUGUAGGCUCAUCGUACUCCCAUCCGGUGGCUUUAAUUUGCUUUAAUGGAAUCGAAAAUGAAUCAAUCCUUUUAACUUCUUCUUCUUCCUCUUCAUCAUCGGAAAUCGACUUUAUUUCCAAAAAAAGUUUUGGGUCGAUUUUGGAGUUCCAAUCAAUAUCAUCGAUAUACAUAUCUGCUACAUUACUUGGCAACUUAUUUGUGCAAGGAAAACGAUGAUAAUAUUCCCAGAAUCUCUAUUUGGCUUCUUGGAAAGCUUUUAAACCAACUGAAUCGUCCCAUUCGAAUACUUUAUCUGUUUUGAACAAAUUAUUUUUUGAUUCAACAAAUCUUUUCCAUGGCAUUGCACCCACUUUUAUGCAGAAUUUUUUCUCCCAUGCAGUAAUGGUUCCCAUGAAUUACCGUUAUCAUUCAGUUUGGAAUGAGUAAAUUUCGGACUGUAAUACAUUUCUGGGCGAUUAUGAUAUCUUCUUUGAUAGUAUAGCAUGAUUUCUUGAAAUCUAAACAAAUAAAUGAAUUGAAAUCGCUAAUGAUAUGAAUUUAGAGUGAGGAGACUUGUUGGGUUUAUAUAAUCUUAUUAGAGUCGGUGGUGACUCAAUCCUUUUCCUCGUUGGAAAAGGAAUUCUAAUUUCAGUUUGACUAUGAUUUCUAUUUUCUAAAUAUUUAUAUAAUAAAAUUAUUAAAAAAUAACUAUAUCUGUAUUGAUUCGUUUCCCUCUUAUUGAUAGCUUACAUCCCUAGCUUCUCUAGAAUCCUCAUUGACUAUCUGAUCUCUUCACCUAUUGGUGUUCCCCCAAGAAUUUUUUUUCUCGUUUUCUCCUCCUAAUUCAUCUCUACGAUCAUCACCUCCUAGCUUACCAUUUUCAACUUUCUUCCAGUACACCACUUUUCCCUUAAAGCGAGCUAAGUUCACAUUUACUUUACUUCCAUAUAUACAGAAUCCAUUAAGUUUACUAACUGCCCUCUUAUCAUCCACAAUGCUUGCAAAUCUUACUCAACCAAAACGUAGACCUUUUCGAUGCCUCUUCUUAGGAAUAAACGCGUCCAACACUUUGCCAUGGAACUCAGAGAUUUUCCAUGGUCCCUUCCAAUGAAAACAAGAAGGAAGAUUAGAAACAUAAACUGAAAUCACCAUUUUCUCCAAGGAUUUAGCCUAGUAAUAGUUAACAGUAACUCCACGGAUCUGAUUAAAAGCACAAGUUAAGUGAAUUACCAAGAAUAAUGUUCUUCAAUACUAUUCCAAAUUCAAUUUUGGAACUUCUGUUAUCAUAGCUUUCAACUGUUUGAAACUCUGAUGGCAUUAUUCAAUCGCACAUAACUAACAUUUUCUGUAGCAACUUCGUCAUGGUAGAGCUAUCAUCGACAAGCCUGAACAAAUCAUCUGUAGUAUAUAUACAAUAAAUCCUAGAAAACAACACACUUCUAUAUUAUUUCCCAAAGAUUCCCUAAUUCACAUUUAUCAGGAGUUCAUUUGAAAUAACUCAAAUAUCUUCUGCUGUUAAUAAAAGGUUUAGAAAACUUAUUUCUUGAAAUUAAAAUUCACAUUUAUUGAUCUUCACAAAUAAUUAUUUCUCUCGUAAUGUCUGUAACACUGUUUCUCCAAUACUAAUCGUGUUCAAUUUUUUUUUCUUCACAUGAAUUGAGUAUCUUUAAUUAUAUAGCAACAACUCUGAUAAGAUACAGCUAGAAACUUUUGUCUAUUAAAUAUAUAAAGUGACUAUGCAAUUGAUAAUCAUAUACAAUAAUCAACAUUUGACUAAACUUUGCGACCUAUACAAGUUUUUUUGGGAUUUCGAUCGACAAAAUAUAAACAUAAACCCCGAGAAGAUACCUAAAACAUUUACUCAUCAAUGGCAACUGACUGAAAAAAUUUGGGUUGUUGUCUAGUUCAUAAUCAUAUACAAGGUCAAUACCAAAUUCUAGCACAGAUAAUUCACAUUUAUCAGGAGAUCAUUCGAAAUAACUCAAAUAUCUUCUGCCGUUAAUAAAAGGUUUAGAAAACUUAUUUCUUGAAAUUAAAAUUCACAUUUAUUGAUUUUCACAAAUAAUUAUUUCUCUCUAAAUAUCUAUAACACUGUUUUUUUUUUAAUACUAAUCGUGUUCAAUUUUUUUUGUUCACAUGAAUUGAGUAUCUUUAAUUAUAUAGCAACAACUCUGAUAAGAUACAACUAGAAACUUUUGUCUAUUAAAUAUAGGGUAAACUAUACCUAUGGUCACUUUUGUUUACUUUAGGUUACAUUUUGGUCACUUAUAUUUAAAAUAUUAUGUUUUAGUCACUUACGUUAUCGUGUUGUAACAUUUUAAUCAUUGAGCCGUUAAUUGCCAUUAACGGUGUAACGGUAAGCUGACAUGGCACGUUAAAUCAUUAUUUCAAACAAAAAUUUUAGGUUAAAUCAUACAACCGAUUCCCAUAUUUUUUUUUUAUUUUGGGCAAUUUAAUUUUUUUUGUUUAAUAUUCUUUAAACUUUACUCUCUCUUUUUUCUCUUUAUUUUCCAUUAUCUUCUGUUUCUCCUUCUAUUUUCCUACCUUCUCCAUGUCUUUUAACAUAUUAAGAAGUUGAAUUGGCAGUGAAGAAAGAAGUAGAAAGUCGAAAGCCAUCAUUGCCUAUAAUCAAAACCCAUAAACCAGUACCAUGAUUCUUUUUUCACUGCCAAUUCGACUUCCUGAUAUGUUAAAAGAAAUGGAGAAUGUAGGAAAACAGAGGGGGAAGCAGAAGAAAAUGGAAAAUAAAGAAAAAAAAGAAAGUUAAAAGAACAUAAAAGAAAAAAAUUAAAUUGCUCAAAAUGAAAAAAAUAUAAGGACCAAUUGUAUAAUUUAACCUAAAUUUUUGUUUGAAAUGAUUAUUUAACGUGCCACGUCAACUUACCGUUACAUUGUUAACAGCAAUUAAUGGCUUAAUGACUAAAAUAUCACAACAUGAAAAUGUAAGUGACUAAAACGUAACAUUUCAAAUAUAAGUGACUAAAAUGUAACCUGAAGUAAACAAAAGUGACCAUGGAUAUAGUUUGCCCUUAAAUAUAAAAAGUGACUAUGCAAUUGAUAAUCAUAUACAAUAAUCAACAUUUGACUAAACUUUGCAACCUAUACAAGUCUUUUUGGGAUUUCGACGAAAUAUAAACAAAAAUCCCGAGAAGAUACUUAAAACAUUUACUCAUCCAUGGCAAUUGAUUGAAAAUAAUUGGGUUGUCGUCUAGCUCAUAAUCGUAUACAAGGUCAAUACCAAAUUCUAGCACAGAUAAAUCUGAAAGAACUCGAAGACUAACAUGAUCACCAGCUUCUAAUUCAUCACCCCUAAAGUUCCAACAAGUCGUCCAGUAUAAGGUAUUCUUAGUUUCAGGAAUUCCCAUGAAAUGUUUGGAGUAGGUCCACUUUGUACCUUUUGUCUCGUUCACAAUUUCAAGGCAUGGUAAAAAUCCAUAUGUUUUAUCAUUCUUGGCAGAAAAAAUGAUAAUCGAAUUUAAGAAGCAACUUAUCUUUUGACUAGAGUUUGGGGGCACUGAUAUUGAAACCUCAGUCUUGCCAGCUUGAUGGCCAUAGUAAUAACCACUGUAAUCAAAUGGCACUGGAUCAAAUGUUGUAAUUAUACCGUAAUCAUACAAUACCUGUAGCAUGGGUUGGAGAAUGAGUUAUUAAAAAUUAUAUAGUAUAUAAAUAAUUUUAAAAACUUGGAACUUGUAAAGGGAACCUGUGGGGAAGCAACCAUUUUUGAUUCUUCUAUAUAACUGCAAAAUUGCACUUUAGCAUUUCCAUAAGAUUCCAAACUGAGCAAGUGUUUAGUUUGGUCCAUCUUGAUAUGUCUUGUGGAAACUUCAUCUCCUAAAAUAUGUACAAUAAUGUGUUAUUUAUCAAUUUUAGUGAUCAUCAACAUAAUAUGCUUAUUAGAAAGUAAUAAUAUUGACUUGAAUGGAGUGUUAAUUAAAGCUUUUACCAGACACUCAUUUGACACGAAUUCAAAUCGUGACCCAUCUCCCAUACUCAAUAUUGUAUGAAAAAAAGAUAUCAAAGUAGUAAUGUUAUUAUCACUAAGAUGUAUUAUAAGACUUGUAAGAAAUAAUCAAUUAUACACAUUAUAUCUUUAUUUUUCAUUUUUAUAUAAUAUAUAAACUUUAAAACUAUUAAAUAUGUUAAUCAAAACACCACUUUUAUAAUUUUAUCCAUUAUUUUAGUUUCCACUUCUAUUAGUACUAUUGGAUUAAUCAUUUAUCAAACAAUUAACUUAUUUUCAUUAGACCCCAAUUGCAGCAUAACUUUAUAAUUAUCACUUUAUUAUUAAGCUAAAUUUCUCUCAUAAUCUAUUAAAUUGUCACAUUUCUUGAUAAUAUUUUUAUUGUAUUAGAAAGUCUUUUAGAGAAACAUUCAUCAUUUCUUGAACAUUUGUUAGUCACAUAUAAAAUAAAUAUAAUAGGAUGUAUUUAAUAAAAUAUAAUUAUUUGAAGUCUACUGUUGGAGCAAGAGGCAGCAACAACAAGCUUCAGCAGAAUGCUUGUUUCACAAGUCUCGUGACUUGUAGGAGAAACAAAGCAGAAAACUCAAAUGGAUUUUUAAGUAAAACUAAAAAUGGAGAGCUUAUGGAUGAAAACUUGUUGAAUUCAUUCCUUAAACUUCAAAAUGGCCCAAAGCCAAUACAUAAACAAGUUUACAAUCUUGACAAAAUAGUAGGUUGACCUAAACUUCACCUACUACCACAAAUACACAUAGUAACUUGUGCUAAUUAGCUUGAACAAAUAAACAAAGCUGAUUUAUCAGCUCAAUCAACAUCAAAAUUACAUCAAGCAUAAACCUAACAUAGUUAUAAAGCAACUAAGUUACAUUACUCUAACUUAAAAUUACAAAAUGAAACAUAACAGCUUGCUGACUAGGUAAACCAGCAGCUUCUGCAUGUAGUGCCUUCGACAGUCUUGGUUGCUGCAUGCUGACCAUAACUUCAAUACUCCUCCUUGGUUAGCAUGUUGCAAACUCCCAUAUUAGCUCUCAGGUGUUGAAACUUGGAAACACUUAGUGCUUUUGUUAAAAUAUCAGCAAUUUGCUCUUCAGAACUGCAAUGUAUCAGCUUAACAACAUGAGCUUGUUCCAUUUCUCGAACUGCAUGAAGUUUGAUGUUGAAGUGCUUGGUCCUUCCAUGAAAAACAGGAUUCUUUGCAAUAGCAACUGCUGAUUGGUUGUCACACAUUAUCUCAGUUGCUUCCUUUUGCUCAUGAUUGAUAUCUUUCAAAAUUUUUCUAAGCCAUAUGGCUUGAUUGACUGCUGCAGCAGCAGCCACAUAUUCCGCUUCUGCAGUCGACUGAGCCACUACUCCCUGCUUCUUUGAGCUCCAGCAAAUCAUAGCAGAGCCUAUGUUGAAUGCAUAACCUGUAGUGCUCUUCAUGUCAUCCAAGGAACCAGCCCAAUCACUGUCACAAUAUCCAACUAGCUUCAAGUUCUCAGCCUUGGUAAACUGCAUUCCAUAGGACAAAGUUCCUUUGAUGUAUCUUAGAACCCUUUUUGCAGCUCUAAAAUGACUUUCAUUUGAACAAUGCAUAAACCUCGAGAGUAGACUCACAGCAUACAUUAUGUCAGGUCUAGUAGCAGUCAAAUACAACAAACAUCCAACUAGACUUCGAUAGGUUGUUUCACAAACCUUUUCAUGCUUGUCUUGGCUCGAGAGUUUUUCUCCAACAGCAACUGGUGUGCUGGUUGCUUUGCAAUUCUCCAUUGAGAAUUUGUUGAGAACCUUCAUAGCAAAGGUCUUUUGACUUAGCCAAAUCCCAUUCUUAGCUUGGUUCACUUCCAUGCCUAAGAAGUAAGACAUCAAUCCCAAGUCUGACAUUUCAAAGUGCUGUUGCAUUUUGACUUUAAAGCUGCUUAGCAUCUCAUAAUCUCCUGCUGUCACCAGUAGGUCAUCGACAUAUAUUGAGACAAUGAGCUGAGUUUCAGCACUAGUUGAUUUAACAUACAGAGUUGGCUCGCUAAGACUUCUUUCAAAUCCUUGACUGGUCAGAUAGCCAUCUAUUCUGCUAUACCAGGCCCUUGGACCCUGUUUCAAGCCAUACAAGGCUUUGUUGAGCUUGUACACCAUUUCUUCCUUGCCAGACACCUUGAAACCUUGAGGUUGCUCCACAUAAAUCUCCUCUUCAAGGAAUCCAUUCAGAAAUGCUGAUUUUACAUCAAGUUGGUGUAUCAGCCACUGUUUUUGUGCUGCUAAGGCAACUAGCAGUCUGAUAGUGUCUAGCCUGGCCACUGGUGCAAAGGUUUCCAGGUAGUCUGACCCAUACCUUUGACUGAAACCUUUCACAACCAAUCUAGCCUUUAACUUGUUUAGGCUACCAUCAGCAUUGUUCUUUACUCGAUAAACCCAUUUGACACCAAUAAUCUUCCUGUUUGUUGGUUUAUCAACCAGACUCCAGGUCUGAUUCUUUUCAAUCAUUCUGAUUUCUUCAAUCAUUGCUUACUUCCAGUCCUCCUGGUUUUCUGCUUCUUCAAAGCAACUUGGUUCAACAGUAGCCACUUGUGCUCUUUCAUAAACAUCAGCCAGUGAUCGAGUGCCUCUGAUUGGAACAUCAUCUACAUCCAUUUCAGGUGUGUUUUCAUCAUUUUCAACUUGGUCCACUGCGAGAUCUUCAGCCACUGCCUCUGGUUCAGCCUUCUCCCAAUUCCAGUGUCCUUUUUCAUUGAAAACAACAUCCCUGCUAACCAAUAUCAUGUUUGUAGCAGGUUCUAGGAUUCUGUAGCCCUUCUUAACCAAGCUAUAGCCGAUCAGGAUCCCUGCUUGAGCUCUUUUAUCUAGCUUGCUUCUCUUCUCAGCUGGAACUUGUGUGUAGCACAGACAACCAAAGGUUCUGAGAUGAGCCAGUGAUGGCUUAAACCCAAACCAGGCUUCAAAUGGAGUCUUUUCAGCCAGAGCCUUGGUUGGGAGCCUGUUUUGGAGAUAGACUGCUGUGUUAACAGCUUCAGCCCACAGAGUUUUGGGCAAAUUCUUCUCAAACAGAAGACAUCUUGCCAUGUUCAUCAAGCUUCUGUUUUUCCUUUCACUGACCCCAUUCUGUUGGGGUGUAUACACAUUAGUCAACUGGUGUUUGAUACCUGCUUCUUCACAGUAGGCUUGGAACUGAGCUGAGGUGUACUCAGUUCCAUUAUCUGACCUCAUUGCUCUAAGUUUGCAACCAGACUCAGUUUCAACAGCAGCUUUAUACUUCAGGAACACAGAUGGAACUUCUGACUUCUGUUUUAGAAAAUAAAUCCAGCAGUAUCUUGUUAAGUCAUCAAUAAAUAAAAUAAAGUACCUGCUUCCUUUGAGAGACUCAGUCUUCAUUGGUCCACACACAUCUGUAUGCACAAGCUGGAGCUUCUCUGAUGCUCUCCAUGUUGUGCUUGUUGGAAAUGGCAAUCUUGCCAAUUUUCCUUGCUGACAUAUCUCACAAAGCUCAUCAUUCUUCACUGAAUCGAUGAAAUUUUCUGCCAGACCUUCAUUGACCAUGCGGGCUAUGGAUUUGUAGUUUGCAUGUCCAAGCCUCUGGUGCCAGAGUCUCGAGUCAUCAGUGGAGGCUAUGCAGGCUGAAUGUGAGUCAUUUGGCCAGUCUACUUCAAAACAUUUAUCAGUCAUGGUGACUGUUAUGAGGUUUGAUCCACUUGGAUCAAAAAUUUGACAUUCUUUCUCCUUGAAAACAACUGAGUAACCUUUCUCAAGUAGUUGAGUUAUACUGAGAAGGUUCCUAUCAAUUUCAGGUACCAAAAGUACAUUUGAAAUGAUUUUGCCACCUGUAGAUGUAUGAAUCAGCACAUCUCCUCUUCCUUCAGCAUUGAUUAACUGACCAUUUCCAAUUUUUACUUUGGUUUUGCAGGUUCUGUCCAGGGUUUUGAAGAUAGUUGCAUCUGGUGACAUGUGGUUUGUGCACCCACUGUCUAGAAACCAGCCCUUUGAACCCUUUUUCUGAUUUGCUGCACAUGACACAGCAAAAACAUGUUCUUCUUGAUCACUGCUUUCUUCAGCUACUCGAGCUUCUACCUUUUGUUGCUGAAAUUGAUUCUGUCUUGGUUUGCUUCUAUUCUUGCAAACUUUUUCAGCAUGACCUUUUUUCUUGCAGUGUUGGCAUACUGCAUCUGGUCUAAACCAGCAUCUAUCUUCUGGAUGACCAGCUCUUUUACAAUGUCUGCAGAGUUGGUCACUGCUCCUAGCAGCAUCAGGCUUAGGCCUGUUUUUCCAGAACUUUUUGCCUUUAUGAGUUUUGAUGCUCGAGGCUUCUUUGGCUUGAAAAGCCCUUUCCUGGUGCUCCUCUUGUCUGCUGGCUCUUCUUUGCUCUUGUGCAUACAAGGCAUUGAUUAGCUCAGUUAAGGAGAUAGUUGUCAAGUCCCUUGAGUCUUCGAGGGAUGAAAUUUUAGCUUCAUACCUCUCUGGUAGAGUGGACAUGACUUUCUCAACCAUUCUAGCUUCACUGAAUUGCUCUCCUAGGAGCCUUAUGCUGUUUACAACAGCCAUAAUCCGAUCUGAGUACUGCUUAACUGUUUCUUCCUCUUUCAUUUUGAGAUUUUCGAAAUCUCUUCUCAAGUUGAGCAGCUGUUGUUGCCUUGUUUUCUCAGUCCCCUGAAAUUCUUCUUUCAGCUUGUCCCAAGCCUCCUUUGGUGUUUCACAGGCCAUGAUCCUCAUAAAGAUCACAUCUGUCACACAAUUCUGUAUGCAUGACAUGGCCUUGUGCCUUUUUGUUCUUUCAUCAGUGUGUUGCCUUAUUUGAGCAACUGUUGGAUUAGCUCGAAGAGGUGCUGGCUCAGCAUCUGAGUUGACAACUUCCCAUAGGUCGAAUGCCUGCAGGUAAGUCCUCAUCUUAACUGCCCAAAUGUUGAAGCCCUCUCCAUUGAAGACAGGUGGUGAAGCUGGUGAAAAACCUGAUGAUGCCAUCGUUUUGAUGUUGAACUACAACAGGUCCUCUAAGAAUACGGCUCUGAUACCAAUUGUUGGAGCAAGAGGCACCAACAACAAGCUUCAGCAGAAUGCUUGUUUCACAAGUCUCGUGACUUGUAGGAGAAACAAAGCAGAAAACUCAAAUGGAUUUUUAAGUAAAACUAAAAAUGGAGAGCUUAUGGAUGAAAACUUGUUGAAUUCAUUCCUUAAACUUCAAAAUGGCCCAAAGCCAAUACAUAAACAAGUUUACAAUCUUGACAAAAUAGUAGGUUGACCUAAACUUCACCUACUACCACAAAUACACAUAGUAACUUGUGCUAAUUAGCUUGAACAAAUAAACAAAGCUGAUUUAUCAGCUCAAUCAACAUCAAAAUUACAUCAAGCAUAAACCUAACAUAGUUAUAAAGCAACUAAGUUACAUUACUCUAACUUAAAAUUACAAAAUGAAACAUAACAGCUUGCUGACUAGGUAAACCAGCAGCUUCUGCAUGUAGUGCCUUCGACAGUCUUGGUUGCUGCAUGCUGACCAUAACUUCAAUAUCUACUCAUACCUGUAGAUAAGUGCGAAAAGCCAUAUUCAUAUCCAAUGUUGUGUUCUGAUUCAUAAGUAACGCCAAAUUUUCUUAUGCUGAGAUGAAUAGGCACUACCAUGCAACUCACAAGGUCACCACCUUCAAACUGAAAGUCCGUUACUGGCCAAUGAAUCAACCACAACAUUGUCUUAUCGUUAGUCUGAGGAAUUCCAAUGAAACUUGAGCGAUAUCUCAGCAUGAUCGUUUUGGUCUCAUUGAAAAUGUGGACACAUGGUAGAAACUCCGACAUUUGAUCACUAGCUAAAGAGAAAACAAUGCAUAAGCUGAACCGAUGGAUCUUUUCAUCUGGAUGAGCUGGUGUUGGCAAAACAAAAGAGAUUCGAUGCUCGUUAGUGCGAUGCUUAAACCCAAUCGGAAUUUCACUUCCUACAACAAAUGUGCUUGUUAUACCACGUUCUUGCAAGACCUGAUCCAAAAAAAAACAAGUUAGAUGAUUUAGUAUAAGAGAAAAAAUAGAUUUAAAAUUUAAGUUGGAGAACUAUUGGACCUGUGGGGUAGCUAGCAUUAUGCUGUCUGUUAGGUAGCUAUAAAGUUGCAGUCGAUUUCCGUUAAUGGAAUCUACGUUGAAUAAUCUUCUAAUCUCUUCUGCUUCAAAGUUUUCAAUUGGUUCCAACUUGAAUAGAUCUUCAACCUCAGUCAAUUUUUCACAUCCAAAAAUAACACAUCGUGUGGAAGAAAAGAAGCAUGGAACAUUAUUUAUCCCAGAUCCUCGAAAUGGAGAAUUGUCUCCAAAAAUAAACUUGCACUCUGAAACAUUGAGCAAGACCGGAAGCUUUGGAAUCAUUUGGAGUUCAGUGCAAGAAGUCAAUAGAAGUUCUUCAAGUUUUGUAAGGUUUUUUAAGCUUUCGGGUAGGUAAUGAAUUGGGUUUCUACUUAAAUUUAAGGAUUUCAAGGAAGCCAAGUUACAAAGAUCAUUGGGCAUGACAUCAUUAGAUAAUUUGCAACUUUCAAGGCUUAACUUUACCAAAGAGCUCGGUAGAGAUGCCCAAGAGAAACCCAAUCCUUUGCUUCUUUUCAGUAAGAGCCAAUGCAACCCCAAUCUUGAUUGAUAUAUGGCAGUUUCAUCUAAAUUAAGCACCUUCAAUGAUUCCAUAUUAUGCAACUCCCUAGGAACAUCAUCAAGUCUUGAACAACCAGAUAAGAUAAGCUCUUCAAGUGAUAUUAAUGAACCAAUUGUCCUUGGAAGAUGCCUAAGACUUGUGCAAUCUUUAAGGUUCAAGAAAGUAAGCAGCUUUAGCUCACCAAUGGAUUGAUCAACUUCCACCAAAUUUAUGCAAUCUUUGAGCAUCAACUUCUCAAGGCUAGGGAGUCCUGAAAAGCUUGGGGUUUUAAGAAGGCUAUGUGAAUGGUUGAGAUUAAGGAUCUUUAAAUUUGGGAGGCACUGCAAAAAAGGAAAACCCUUCAUUUAUAUAUUAUUGUUUCACACACACAGAAAAAGAAGGAAAAUUAGUAUAUAUCAUACCUCUGUAUCCUUCCAAACUUGUUUAAGUUUACUGUUGCGCAUGUCGAGAACAACUAGUUCAUUGAUAUCAAAAUCCACCGGAAAAGAUUGCAUACAAAACCCACGCCAACGUAACCAUCUUAAUCUUUUGGGAAAGUCUUUGAAGUCUCCUUUAAGUCUUACAUAAUCCAGUUGAAGCAGUUUAAGUCUCUUCAUCUUUGCAAAUGCUUGAGUUUCCAUAUCAACAUCAUUUGACAUGAGAAACUGACUUUUGGAAUGCUUUGGAAAAUGUAGAGUUGUAUUUGUUCUUUUAGCCUUGUCUUCUAGCAAUCCUUUUAGGUCAAGUGUGAGGCACUUAACUGUUCUGGAACCCUGCAUCAGAAAAACUUUUUUAAAAAAUAAAAAGAAAUUUGAUAAAAAAAAAGUAGUUUACAUGCACACAAGAAAAAAGUUGAGUAAAAUGAUGUUUCUUACAAUUUUUUCUCUUAUUACAUCAAACGCGUUCUUAUGCCACAAUCUACUUCGUUUCCCAAUAUCAGAAGAUUCUUGACGAAUAAUUUCUCGUCCCAUAUCUCUAAUCAUUUGGUGCAUCGUUAGCUUGUUUUUUUCAUUAAUGAUUAAGAGAGACCUGCGUACUAGAUUUUCAAUCCCAAUUGUUGUAUAGAAAUCACAACCAUCUAGAAUUGUAGUCGUGUAAUCUCUAUCCUUCCCAAUGAAUAAACAAACUAUGUCAAGGAAUAAAUUUUUGUCAUGAUCGUCUUCCAAAGAAUCAUAGCUUAUUCUUAGAAUCUCUUGAAUUUUGCUGUCAGGGAUUUCUUCCAAUUUCUCCAAUGCACUUUUCCAAGAACUCACACUUUUGCUAGAUAAUGAAGAGCCCAAAACUUGAAGAGCUAACGGAAGCCCACCACAGUGUUUCACUAAACUUCUUGCAUAUGCCAUUGAACUUUUAGGCACAGAGUUAAGACCAAAAGCAUACCAAUUAAAAAGUUGUAGCGAUUCACUUGAAGCUAAUUCUUUUACUUCAAAUAGCUUGCUUAAGCCUCCACAACUAGUUGAUGCUUCCAAAUCAAACAUUUGGCUUAUAAAAUGUGCAUUCAAUAGGCAUCGGUUUCUACUAGUUAUGAUGAUUUUACUUCCUGGAUGAAAAGGAAUUUGAGUUCCCAUUAAUUUUCUUAUUUUUCCCAAUUCAUCAACAUCAUCAAGAACAAGAAGAACUCUUCUACAACAUACAAUUUCUUUAAUCUUGUUAAUUCCAUUAUCUAUAUUGUAUAUUUUAUGUGAUUUUCCUUUAAGGAUAUCUGAAAUAAGUUGUCUUUGCAAACGGACUAAACCAUUGCAAUCUUGACUUGUUUCUCUAACAUCAGCAAGGAAACUAUAACCUUCAAACCUCGGGAUGUUUUGAUUGUAAACAACUUUGGCAAUGGUUGUCUUCCCAAUGCCUCCAAUGCCACAAAUAGUUGCAAUGCCAACUUUAUUUGCUCCAUCUUGUUCUAACCAUUGAUUAAUUUGUGUCAUGAGAGAAUCUAUUCCAACUAAAUAAGGAGGGACAUACAAAGAAAUAAGAUGAAGUUUAUUUUGAACUUCAUUAACAAUAUCUUGAAUGAAUUGUGAUUCAUGCCUGCAAAUUUAAAAAAUACAACUUAAUGGUAAAAUCUUGGAAAUUAAGUAAAAGUUAGUAAUAUAUUUUCUCUUUUCUUGCAUAUAUUUUGAUUUUUUUAUGAGAUUAUAUGUUCAUGGUAAAAAUAAGAAACUAAUGCAACAUUUCGAUAUAUAUGUUCAAGUAAAAAUAAGAUCAAACUAAUGCAACAUUUCAACAUAUAUGAUACAUUCAAAAUCAAAUCAAAUCAAAUAAAGCAAAUAAAAAUUAAUGAAAUUCAUUUUAGAAAUAACCUAUACUCAAAAUUUCAACUUUCUCUUUAUGAAAGUUUAAUAAAUUCAUGUUAUUUACAUGAAUUUAUAUAUUUAUUUUUUAUUCAUUGUAAUACUUUGAAUAUGUGUAGACCUAUUAUACGAAUAACUUGGAUAUAAUUGUUGUAAAUAUCCUAUUGCAAAAUAGAAAAGUUACAGGAGACCAAACUGAAUGUAAAUAAAAUAAGAAUCACUGUGUCGUGGAAGAACCACUGCAUUAAAGGCAAAUUCAUCCUGAUCGGUGUAAUUAUGUAGUAGACGUUACCCCCCAACACAAUACUCCAAUAUUUGUACACCCGAAUAAAGAAGGUGGAACACGAUUGACAUUACUCUUCCCGAAAAAAAAAUUCAAUUCUCAAGAAAGAUUAAAGGGGUCACAAAUAGUCCCGCUUAAAACUUAAUCUCUUAGACAGAAUUUCCCUCUCGUGUAAUUUUGCAGAACACUAGAAUAUAGAGAACAUAGAGAAGUUUUUUUUCUCUUGUUGUGUUAGGUGGGAGAAUUAUACAAUUUUUUGAUGGGCAAAUGGUAAAAUAACAGUUUUUGUUUCCAAAAACAGCAAAGAAUUUUCCUAACUGAAAAUAUUCUAAAAAUAUUUUAUGCAACAGUUAGAGAAUUUUCCGCAAUUAAAAAUAUUCUUUCACAUUACCAACAAUGACAUCUUAGAAAACCACAAAUAGUGUCAUUAAAUUCAAGAGACUAUUUCUUUUUGUUUUCAACUUGUCAAAUUCAAGUUGUUCAUGUGGUAGGUGCAAACACAUUUAAAAUUUGAUCUAUGUGUUUUAAAAACAUCCUACAUCAAAUUUGAGCUAACAUUUAAUGCUUAAGCUGGUGACUUAUUUGAUAGAAAGACCUCAAUGAUACAAUACUAAUAUUUUAAUGACUCAAUUAAAACAUGUUAAUGUUUGAGAAAUAAUUUAAAAUCUGACUUAUAAUUAACCCUUUAAAAUAGAUUGAAGUAAUCAUUUUAAUUUCCAAACGCUACCUAACAAUAUUUUCUAUUAAUUUUCUUUCUACUCUAUCAAGUCUUAAUGAAAAGGAUUGAAGUAGCCAUAUGGAACUUGAUUAUGUGUAUAAUGUACCUGUCUUGUAGAACCAUGCCUCCUAUAUCCGCAACUUCUUUUAAAGCAUUCCUCCAUCUUUGUACCAUGGACUCGAAGUUUUGUUCAUGUUGGGUAAAUGCUUCUGCAUAACUUCCCGUCUGGUUCUUGACUUGACUCGGAUCCACAUCAUAGAAAACUGGCAACACAAUAUGUUUAGAGGAUUUCUUGUGCUCCAAUAUCAUUACAAGUUCGUUAAGACACCAUGUGGAUGCAGCAUAAUUCUUUGAGAAAACAACGAUAGAAAUUUUGGAGUGGUGUAGUAUUGCUUUUUCAAUUUCAUCUUUUAUGUUAUUCCCUCUCUCGAUUUCCUCAUCAUCUCUAAAUGUUUGAAUUCCUAAGUGCACCAAAGCUGUGUAAAGAUGAUCAGUGAAACUUUUGCGCGUAUCUUCACCUCUAAAACUCAAGAAUACAUGAUAAGUACAUCGCGAGAUUUCUGACAUUGCCGUUGAAGAAGAAAAUGAAGUCGUCCUGUAUUUUUUUAUGUAAUAACAAGGUUCCAGCAUAUAUAUAUAUAUAUAGAUAUAUAUGUAUAUGUAUGUAUAUAUGAAUGGCAAAGCAGAUAUUAUUAGCAGUCAAGUGGCAGUUCCCAAUCCAUGGUGGGUCAAUCCUUCCAUAAGUUCAUACAACUGCCCGAAGAAAUUCAUGUCGGCCAUGUUUUUUUCCAAAUCUACCAACGUGGGUUACGUAUUCUAUAUUACUAAUUUUGCGUGACAAAUACAAUGUAUUGAUUAACUUGAUGGUUAUAGCUAACACAACACGUAAUAUAGCCAUCAUCUUCAGGCUAAUAUUAGUAAAAAUGCUAUGGUUCUUGUAUUUUAAGUCGUAUUAUAUUUUGUUUCCUCUACUUAGAAAAUAGUAAAUUAGUUCUUUUGUUAAAAAAUUAUCCAUUGUUAUUGUUAAAAAUUGGUCCAUGUAAUCAACAUGAGGUAUAUGCGACAUGCCACAUGCAACUAUCUGGUUAUUUCGUCAUUCACGUUAGUUUUUAAAUUUGUUAUUUUAUCUAAUGUAAUGGACUAAUUUGUUUGUUUUUAAAUAAAAUGGGUUAAAUACAAUUUGACUCUCAAUAGAAUGAUCUCCAUGAUACUUUUACUAGCUAAUGACUUGGUAGAUACAGUCAGUAAUUAAACCACAACCACAAUAUAUCACAUAAACAUCACAUUAAACAUUCAAGUGUUGUACGUGUAGUGAGGACAUGAAUUUGGUUAGCAUAAGAAUUCAAAUAAAUAUAUGGUUUACCGAACUUAUAUUAUAAUUAAUGUAAUUAUAAUUUUCGGUUUAAAAUAUUAUUAUAUUUUUUAAUUCCUAAAAACCCUAAAACAAAAGGAUAUAUAUAUAAUCCCGUUUUCUUUGUUUGGGUCUAGCAGCCGUCAAAGAAAAAUAACUCUCAAAAUUGUUUUGGGGAUUCCUUCCGUUCGUAUUCAACUGGGUGGAUUCGUAGAGGCCGGGAUCACGAUAGAUUGCGGCUUGGUUCGACAGCAGAUCAGACUACUCAUUGUUGAGGUGUUGUGUCUACUCUGAAUAAACAUUAGGUAAUUUCGUAACCUUGAUCACCCCAAUUCGUUCCUCACACAUGGAUCCAUGGUAAGGGUCGCCGAUUUUAAUUUUUUUCGCUGCGCCGUAGGGGUGCCGGCGGUCCAACAUCAAGUUCGGUAUAAUAAAGAAACAAUUUUAGUAUCUAUGCAUGAAUGAAGAAUUAAUUGUUUUUGAAAAAGAAUUGGUGAUUAAAUUGAUCUCAAUUGUUUAUUUGAUUUGUUCGUGUUAUCUAAACUAAAUAAAUUUUUAAAAAUUAAAAAUAAUAAAAAUUCACGUAUAUUGCACGUUAAAGUAAAUUGAAAAUGAGAAUUGAGAGGGACAUUAGAGAAGGAGAAUAAUUCCGAAGUAUUUGGGGUGGCAAAUAGUGGUACCAGAAAACGCGUUUCAAUCGCUUUUCAUUUCGGAGUCAUGCUUACGGUCCAUUUAGUGCUCAACAUUUUUGUUAAAAAUAUUAUUUGAAUAGAGUUUUUCAACAGAGGUAAAAGUUGUACACUAUAAAAAAAAAAUAUUAUCAGACCUUAAACAAUGAUUUGUCAGCCUUAAAUUAGCAAUUAAAGAGGAUGGGAUAAGGGUAAGGUUGAGUAAUUGAUCCAAAAUUUCAUGCUGAGGGCAACUAGCACAAAAUUGUUUAAAUAUUUUCCAGUACUCAUUAAGGAUCUUCAUAUCCUUUUUGUGGUAUGCCAUAGAUUUCUUUCGAGUGAAAGAAAAAGAAAAUUCAACGAAUAUUCUUAUCAUAUGUAUUUUAAAAUUUUAAUAUAAUUAAUCAAAAACAAUUCACAUAUAUGAAUCAUCAAAUUUGACGUGCUUAGAAAUCCAUAUGUGAUAGCCUGAUGAUUAAGGUUGUUCAUCACCCUAAAUGUGACCUAAAUUUGAAUCGCACUAUUUGCAUUGAUUAUUCGAGUUUUACUUAAUAUUAUAAUUCAAAAAAAUUAACUUACUUAAAUAAAUAUUGAAUUUUGUCACAUUUAAUAUAGAGGACAUGAGAGGAGGAGAAUAAUUCCCAAGUACUUGGUGUGGAAAAUAGUGGUACUAGAAAACGCGUUUCAAUUACUUUUCAUUUUGGAGUCAUGCUUACGUUCCAAGACUUUAGGCCAUUAGCAAUUAAAGAGGGGCCCCAACAAAAUUAUGGCCCAACUGUUUCACCGAACAUAAUAAAUUCGUGGGCUAACCAAUUUCAGUGCAAUAAAAGUAGUGAAGAGGAUGGGUUGGUAAUGCAAAGUAGAAUCCCUCGUUGCAGCCUUCAAAUUUUUUGGUUCACAAUAUUUUAGGAAGAACUCAAUUCAAAUAAUAUUUUUUUGUGAUUGUUUUUCUCAAUAAUAUUAUCUUUAAAAUUUAGAUCUAUAUUUUUUAAAAAGUAUAAUAUAACUUACCAUUAUGUCUAACACUUACUAAUUAUUCAAAUAAUAAUAUUAACAAAAAGGUUGCGCACCAAAUGGUUUGAUAAGUACUAACAAGCUCAUGGGAUCUAAAGUCUAGAUCGAGUAGCACUAUUAUCCAAAACAUAGUGAAGCAUAUUAAUUCUUUCUCUGACGUUUGUUAUAGAGAACUCUACAACCUAGUGCUACUAAUUAUCAAUCUUAUUGUUGUGACUCCAUAACUAAAAUUUAGCUGAUCCCUUCAUUCAAGAGUGUAAUUAUUCGAAUAGGAUCAUGUCUCUUUUACGGUGGAACGCUAAUUCAUUUUAUUACAUGGAUUUGUUCAUAAAAAUUCUCUUAAAAUAUCAAACAAAUAUCAGUUAGAUGUUCUGAUUUAAAUAUUUAGUUUUUAAGAGAAUACAUUCUUACUUCAUUUUGCCUCCUUGAAGAUUUAUGUCAAAUCCAAAUUGAUGUGAGUUGGUAGCCAUAUAUUUUUAUUUUUAAGGAUUUUAGUCUCUCUUUUUUUAAUAUUUCAAAACUCAAAUCUAAUUGUUAACCCUGUUAUUUUUUUUUUGUUAAAUUCAUGUUAAUUACAACAUCAUUUUUGUAAUUACAUGGUUAACAAAUAAGUUUUUUUUUUAAUUUCAAAAUGCCACCCUAACACAUUUAACAAAAAAAAAUUAAAAUGUUAACCAACAGAAACUAAAGAGACUAAAUCUCUAGAAAUAAAAGUAUGUGUUCUAAACUCCAAAAUUUUUAAAAGUACAAGAACUUAAGACAUAUUUUAACCUUUUAACUUCUAGGUCAAGAUACUCAUCCAAUCCCCGCUCGAGAUUUGGGAGGAUUUAGACAAAAUUAUCAAGCUCGAAAAAUGGACUUGGACAAAAAGUUAGUCCAAUUUAAAAUACGAGUUGGGAUCGGGCAUAAAAAUUCAAGGCUCGAGUCAUUUACUAAUUUUCUAAUAAAUUAUUUUAUGUUAUUUUUAAAAUUAUAUAAUUUAUUUCAGAAAAUAAAUCUAUAGUAAUACAUAUGAUACUAUAAUGUAAACAUUAAAAAAUGUUAAGAUGUCUAUAUAAAAUGUUAAGAAAUUUGGGAAAAUAUUCAAUUCAAUCAGGCUCAAAACAAUUUGUGGGUCAAUUAAUUUAACAUCUCUAUUCAAAUCGACAAUGGCGAAACCUAAUAGAGGCCCAGGGGACCAUGGCACCCCCAAGGAUUAAAAUUUUUGCAAUUUAGCCCUUUGUAGAUAUACUAUGGCCUAAGUAGCCCCCCAAGUUUAAGAUUUUUUGCAAUUUUCCAAAAAUACUGCUUCUUUUAGAUCGAUUAUCAUGUUGGAAUAGUGCUUCUUUUGAGUCAAUUCUUUAUAUGUUUAAAUCGAUUGUCAAGUUGGAACACUACUUCUUUUGAAUCGAUUGUGUAUAUGAUUAAAUUGAUUGUUAUGUUGGAAUAAUGCUUCUUUUUAAUUGAUUGUGUAUAUGAUUAAAUCGAUUAUUAUGUUGGAAUAUUACUUCUUUUGAAUCGAUUGCUUAUAUGUUUAAAUCGAUUGUUACAUAACACAUCUAAUUAAUUUGUUCUUUGCUUCUUUGAUUGUUGCGUAGCAUUUCCUUUUAUUCUCUACUUCUUUGAUUGUUGGUUGUUUUAAAUCGCAUCUUUUACUAAAAUGAAUAUCAGCAAAGAAUUUAUGCUGGAGUUUGAAUCGAUUCUUCGCUUAUUUCAAUUGAUUGUUUGUUGUUUUGAAUUAAUUCAUUAUUGUUUAAAUUGAUUCAAACUCUUACAUAAAUUCAUUGUUGAUAUUCAUUUGGUCCCUUAUCAAUAUUGACUUACACAGGUGUAUGUAAGUUCUUUUUCCCUCAAACCUCUUGUUGUACGUGUGAAGCAAGUAAAGGUAUAUUUACGGUUGUUCUUACUCUAGAAGAGAAAUGAUUCCUCAUACUUUAUACAGUGUAUUUACAUAUUUGCCCUCAAUCGAAUAUUGAGGGAAUCUCCCUUCACUUUUGACACGUUCGAUAGAAAGUUUAAGGGAAAACAACUAAUUUACACCGGUGUAUAUAAGUAUUGAUAACUCAUUGAUACCAAAUGUUUAGAUCAAAUCGAGAAAUCAUUAUAUAUUAUUUUCCUAUACUAUGUGUUAUGUUUAUUAAUAAAACAUGUUUUUAAUUUAAAUGAUAUACUAAAAACUGCUCAUCCACACAAUCAUUGAUAUGUUGAUUUAGGAUCCAAACUUGAAUCAUAUAUUCUUACGUAGUGAAACUAAAAAGGGCCUCGUCGCCAUUCUCCAUCUAUUCCUAUAUAUUCAUCUGUUCGGAAGAAACCGAACUUAACAAAACACCAUGAAAGCAUAAUCGAUAUUUUUUCACUUUUAAGAAAUAUAAGUUGUUAAUAAUAUCAAACCCAAUAAUACAGUAUAUCAACAAUCAAACCAAAUCAACAACCAUAACACAACCAAAAAAAAUAAAAUCAAUUCAUUAGGAAGGGUCUUCCUCCUCAUUAUCUGCAUGAUUUUCAUAUGAAUCCAGUUGCAAAGUAACGGUGUUUAACACUUUGAAUCGUUUCAUUAUUGUUUGAACCGAUUCAAACUCCAGCAUAAAUUUACUGUUGAUAUUCAUUUGGUCAUUUAUCAAUACUUGCACAACAUUUGUCCCUUAUCAAUACUUGCAAAAAAAUAACUUGUGAUUACUGCUUUUUUCGAAUAGAUUGUUUAUAUGUUUAAAUUGAUUGUCAUGUUGGAAUAUUGCUUCUUUUGAAUCGAUUAUUAUGGUGGGAUACUACUUUUUCUUCUUUUGAAUCGAUUGUUUAUAUGUUUAAAUCGGUUGUUGUGUUGGAAUACUGUUGCUUUUGAAUCCAUUGUUUAUAUGUUCAAAUUGAUUGUUAUGUUGGAAUACUACUUCUUUUGAAUCGAUUAUUUAUAUGUUUAGAUCAUUUGUUAAGUAGCACGUCUAAUUUUAGCUUGGCCCCCAAGAUUAACAUCCUGGCUCCGCCACUACGGAUCAAUAUAUUGGUCAAUUCUUGAUUCAACUAAUCGACUAAUCCUAUUUAAUCCGAUUUAAAUAACUACGUCACAUUUAUACAUAUUUCUAAAAUAAUAUGUUAGUGUAAAAAUAUUUAAUCAAUUUGAGUUAUGAAAUUGUGGUCUAACAAUAGUUUAGGGUAUCUUAUAAACUCAAAAUUUUCAAAUUAUGCUGGUGUCCAUUUGUGCUUUAUUUUUGGUACAAGUUCUUUUUGGAGUUAUACCAUAUAUUAUAUAAUUUAAAAUAUUCUUAAAAAAUAGUUGAAUUAAAUUAAGCCUAAAACUUAAAUGUUUAAGCCAAAGCUUAAUUGAUAGUUUAAAUGAGAUUAUUCUUUUUUUAAAACCCUUUUUUUUAAUUUUUUCAAACCGCCUCUAAAAAAUAAAUAAAAGAUGGUUGUUAGCCUUUUCCUAUAUAUGAGCAACAAUCUUUGGGCAGAGUAUAAAAGAUAGUUUUUAUAAAAAAAAAAUUACGGAAUUAAGGUAUCUGAUUUUACAAUAGUAAUUAAUCUUUUCAUCGCGACUGCUUUUUAAAAGGUAAUAUGUAAAAAACAAAAUUCAAUAAAAUGGUAAUACAUAAUUUACUUAUAAUUAUGGUACGUUUAGUUCGUUAGAGUGAAAUAAAAUUAUAAUAGAAUAAUACUUUUUAGGAAUGAAAUAGAAUUGUAAUUGAAUGGAAUAAAUAUGAUAAUUUGGUUGGGUAGAAUACUUUUGUAUCUUGAUUUAAAAAAAUGAUAGUAAAAAUCAUCUGAAAAUAAGAUGAAAUUCAAAGUACAACACCAAGUCUCCAUCAAGCAGUGUACAUCUCCAAAUUACUAUAUUGAUUAAGAAUAAUAUUGAAUAAAUAAGACAUAAAUAACCUUCAAGAUUCAAUCCUUUAAGUUUUCUUUCUCCUUUAUUUACUUCAAUUUUAUAUAUGAUAUUUAGACUUAUUAAUGGGUUGAGUUAUUGAUCCAAAUUUAAAAGAUUGUUUAAAUUUUGAAGGAGUUUUGGUAAAAAUAUUAAACCCUAAAAAUAGGACUGGACAAAAAAAUUAAGCUUGUUUAAAAUAUAAGUUGAACUCAUAUAUGAACAUUCAAGGUAUGAACUAGGCUCGGCCCAUUUUUAAAAUUUGUAAUUUUUAUAUUAUAUUUUUUAUAUAUUAUGUAAUAUAUAAUACAAAAAUUAAAUCUGUAGUAAUAUAUAAUAUCAUAAACAUUAAAAAAAUUAAGAUGAAUAUAUAUAAAAGUUUAAUAAAUAAAAUAUAUAAAUUAUUAAAUAGAAUUAAAAAUAAUAUAAAUAAUUUAAAAAAAACAAUAUGGGUGGAUUUAAAAUGGAUUUGGGUUAACUAUUUACAAGUAUGAAUGGGCUUAAACAAAUUUUAAGUACAUAUUUCAGACCGGGUUUUGUUUCUUGACAACCAGAAUAUGCGUUAACAUCAUGCUUAAUUUUAACCCAAACUCAACCCGAUGCAUAGGGGAAAAUGUUUAAACCUCAAACGAUAUUAGUGAAAUAUGAUUAAUUUUUAGAUUUUUUUUAAAUAGCUUAUGAGUAAAACUUUUUUAUUAGUUUGAAGAGUUGUGAGUUUAAUACCCUCUCUGAAUCGAUUCUUUAAUCAAUUUCCAAUUCAACCUUUUUGAUCAGUCGAUCUGAUUCGAUUCAGACAACCUUAAAUUAUAUGAAUUUUAAGCUAUUGAAGUUACAACUGAUAUUAAAAUAAAUCGGAACCUUCUCGGUCUCACCAAACUUACUCUAAACCAAGAGCAUAAAAAAUCAUCCUCUAAACCAUGCAGUGUCAGCAAUUAUAAGAUCUGUUAGUGAAACAUUGAGUAGAAACUAUAAGAUCUGUUAGAUAUCAUGGGAAGUAUUGAACUCUUAUAAUUAGAAUAAUCAAGGUCCACUGAAAAUAACGAUAUAAAAACGCAUACCAUGAACAUGCAGUUCAUAAUAUUCUUUGAAGUUUUAGACUCUUGACAAUAACCAGAAAAGUCAAACACAAACACACUCUGUAUCUUCAGUUCAUAAACAUCCCAAUAAACCAUUGGGAUUCAAACACAAAACCAUCACACAAACACAUAUUGUCUGUAUCUUCGGUUCAUAAACAUCCCAAUAAACCAUUGACAUUCAAACACAACCAUCACACAAAUGCAUACUGGCAGUAUCUUCAGUUCAUAAACAUCCCAAUAAACCAUUGAGAUUGUAUUUCAAAGAAGCAAAUUACUCAACCCGUGGCUUUUUCGGCAAACUGGCUAGCUUCAGUUGGUUUUCUUUUAACUCAGCUUCGUCCUGAUCCAGCUUCAGUUUCUUCUCUUUUAAGUCAGCUUCGUCCUGAUCCAGCUUCAGUUUCUUCUCUUUUAAGUCAGCUUCAUCCUUCUCCAGCUUCAGUUUGUCUUUUCUAACAUUAGCUUUCUUCUUCUCAAAUCUCUUCUCCUCUGCUUCAUACUCCAUUUCACGAGCCUUCAUCAACUUAUUCAUGAUGUUUUGCACCAUUGCCUCCAUAGUUGUGAUGACUUUUAGCUCAAGUAUCUCUGGGUUACUUUCUAAUUUAUGGUAAACUUCAGCUAGUGAGUUCAUAAUGAUCCUUUGAACAUCUGCAUGACUACAUAAAAGAAAAUUGUUAUCAGUAUAAGGGUGCUUUUGAAAUGUCAGUGAGCACUUGAGUUCAUAAAUAUUGUAUACCCCUGGACAGUUGACAGCUUCAUAUCGUCUUGAUUUGCUCUGACAUCACCGCUGCCUUCAGUCAGAUCAUUGUAUUGUUGUCGUCUAGAAAACAAAGUUAUUAAGGUAGGAAACAUAAAGGAUAUUAAUAGUUACAAUUGACAAGUAAAAAGCUGAGGAUUUUAUAAGAUCAUUUAUCAACUUGCAGCAAUUACCUGACAGAAGAAAGUUUCCAACAUCAAAAAACGGCUGUGACAGAAGAUCCUAUAGAAAAAGAGAAUCAGAUCUGAUCCAACAAUAAGCAAUUUGAAUUUAAAAAAUAUAUACAGGCCAAAACUUACUGGAUCAACAUUAAGCCCCUUUUCUAGUGAGUCUACUUCAUGAUAACCCUGCAAAUAAGGAGAGAAGUACACAACAUUAAGCCCCUUUUCCUACUCAGGACUUUUGUGUGUGUUUGACUAAUAUUUCUAUGAUUGCGUUUAUCUGUAUUUGAUUCCAAUUCAUUGAAAUCAUCCAUGUAUUCCUUGAAUGAACGUACAAUCUAAGAACCAUAAGAAAAAGGACAUAAAAAUCCGAAUAUUUAAACUACAAAUAUUUCUGCCUGCUAACUAAUGUUCAGGUAGAAUAAUCUGAGUUCAACAAUUGCUUACAAAGAAAGUAACAAACAUUUCUGGCCUAUAUAUAUAUAUAUAUAUGUAACCCAGAGAAUUAAUAAAAAGAAGUGAUAUUUUUGGUUGUAUCACUUUAUAGUUUGCAAAAGAUGAAAUAAACUGCCCGUCAAAGAAAUUAAAGGGAUGACAAGUUGUACUUAUAUGACAGUAGGAAUAGCUGAGAAGGGUUAAAAUCUUCAUUGGUUAAAAGAGAAUCUAUUAUUACAACAGAGGAUUAAACUUGAUUUUUGCAUAUUUAUUGAAAGGAUUGAAUAGAAAACUAGUCGACAAUACAUGAUUGCCUAUUCAAGUCAUAAUUUGCUCAACAAAAAUCAAAAUUCGGUUCUAAGUGAAAAAAAAGAACAGAACAGAACAUGAGAGCCAAAAGACAAGUUAUUCUGUGUACACCUCCAGAAGACUGUGAUAUGGACGCUUUUAUUGUAAUAGGAGUUUUUGUUUUAUUUAUUUAUUAUAUCAGGUUUUAUUAAGAGUUUUAAUUUUACUUAUUUUUUCUAUUAUAUUAGGUUUUUAUUUCCAAGUUAAGAAUUCUACUAGGAUUCUUUCCUUUAUUAUUAACAGACUAUAAAAUGCUGCCAAUAUGAAAUAAAGAGAAGCAAUUAUUCUAUCAAAAAGAAACGAUAUUAUGAGAGGGGGUUCAGUUAAGGAUGAAUCUUUCUUUUGAGUAAUCAUAGGUCGAAGUAAGAAUUCUUUCUCGUCCAGACCUGUGACUAGAUUGCAAAGGGAGGGGGACAAACAACAAAACCAACAAGGAACAACGGCAAAAUAGGUUCUUCUGCACCAUUUAUUAAGAGACUGACACAGACAGAAAUGGCGGAAAGAAUGGCUAAGGGGUUGUGUUAUAAUUGUGAGGAGUCCUAUUCCAUGGGACGCAAAUGUAAAAGGUUAUUUUGGAUAGAAGUACCAAAUGUUGAAGGCAAGCAAGAUGAUGAUGAGGUAGAUGAUUUUGGAUAAGUUCUGAAAUUUAUUCUGAAUUUGAGCUUGAGGACAAGCUCAACUCCAUGGAGGGGAGUAAUGAUAUGGACGCUUUUAUUACAAUAGUAGUUUUAGUUUUAUUUAUUUAUUAUAUCAGGUUUUACUAAGAGUUUUAAUUUUACUUAUUUUCUCUAUUAUAUUAGGUUUUUAUUUUCUUCAUACACUCUAAUUUAGGAAUUCUAUUAGGACUCUUUCCUUUGUUAUUAAUAGUCUAUAAAAGGUUGUCAAUUGAAAUGAAGAGAUAAGCAAUUAUUCUAUAAAAAAAACGUUAUUUUUGAGAGGGGGUUCAGUCAAGGACGAAUCUACCUUUUGAGUAACCAUUGGUCGAGGCAAGAAUUCUUUCUCAUCUAGACCUGUGACUAGAUCCUACGCCAAGGCGCAUAAAAGACUAUUUCUAAAUAAACUUACCACAUCAACCCUAAAAAUUUAAUAAUGCAAGAACAACUUACCAAGAAAGAAAAGUCUUGCCGCUACUACUAAGUUACAGAGUUAUGUUUUCUACAAUAAUUUUCAUGAUAAAAGUAAAAUCUAAAGCUCCAUUGAUUAAAAUACUAAUGACAAAUUGGGUGCUUCUACUCAAAAUGUUUACCUGUAGAUUGAUGUGAAUCUUAGCACCUCUGGUACAAUCAGGGGUUAGAGGAAAAUGGAACAUUAACUGUUCAUCUUCCAUUUGCACAAGAUCUUGAAUACUAACACGAUUUCUAAGCUUUUGGUUCUUAAUAUCUUGUAGCAUUACUAAAAAAGAAGCCAAAACUUUGUUUACUAUUUUUUCAAGUAUGCUAAAGACCUUAGCCUCUGAGAUUAAUUCCUCUGUUUGGUCCACAAUAGCCUCUCCCUGCAAUGCUUUUACUGAAAUAUAAAGAAAGCAGAUAACAAAUUUUAAUUUAAAUGAUUAAAUCAAAUCAAGAUUAAUAUAUUUAUGUAUGUAAAAAGAGCUAUUAAAACAUGUAUUAGCAACAAUCUUUGACUUUUCAAAGAUGGAGGGUGUCAGACAAUUGGCACCUGAAAAUCUAAGCAUUUAAGGCACCGAAAUUUGGUUUGAAAUUUAGCAUGGAAUAAUUUCAAUUUUGGUCCCUAAUUGUAUAGGGACUUUUCAAGUUAAUCCUUGAACUUCAACUAUAAAUAGGCCUAGCUAUUUCUCAUUUUCUCCAUCCCACAAAUGCCAUUCUCUACUUGAGGCAUUAUUCUCUCUCCUUAUUUGUAAAAUUUCACUUGUAUUUUGGAGUGAAAUAUAUUUGGUAGUGCCCGAGGACGUAGGCAAAAUUUGCUGAACCUCGUUAAAAUUCUAGUGUUCUUUAUUGUUUAUUCUGCAUAUUUUGCGAGUGUGAUUGUAGUGAUUUAUUGUGCUAUUAAAUUACGAUAGAGGGAUAUUCUGGCUAGGAAAGACCUGGUACUUAAGUGAUCCUCGUGAUCCACCUCUCUUUCCUGGGAAUUGAACUUAGUGUGAUUUUUUAGUACAAUAAUUUUACUCUUUUACACGCUUCCGCGCAACAACAUGCCUGUCUAUCUCUGGCAUUCCUUAAGCAGUCUCCAGAACAUCAACAACAAAUGGCAUUAAUCAACAUAAAAAUCGUACCUACGAGCGAGAUUAAGUGAGGAAGGUCCUUGCAAAUCUCAUCAGCACACUCUAUGUUCCGGACUGGAUUUGUUGACUGGUUCAAAAAUGAAUCAAGCUCUUGAAAUGCAUUUUCGAUGCUAAGACUGGAAAUGGCAUUAUCGACAAUCCUGGGCUGCAUCAAAUUUUUCAAUCGUUGCACUAAGAGUUGAGGGUCACGAAGCCGAUUCAUCCCUUCCACUACUAUCUCUUUCUUUUCUUCCCAUUUCUUCUGCAUUCAAAAAAGUUACUAAAAGCAAUUAGAAAUAUAAAUGAACUUGCACCCUCAGUUUUUUAGCUCAAUAUUCUUGAGUAAAAACAAAAGCACGAUAAUCUGAAUUAGACAUUAUAAUUGAAUUAGAUAUUCAAUAUUAAUAAUCAAUAUAUAUUAACUGAAUUAGACAUUAUAAUUAGUCAUGACUGUCGAAAUUCAAAAUUGUAAAAAUUAAUAUAUAUUGAAUUAAAUGACUACCAUACAUAAAUUUAUUCAAAUAAUAAUAAUAAAAAAAUGAGAGUGUUUAAGACAAUUUCGUUGUAUUUGCUUGUUCUAUGAUCCAACUAUGGUAGGUAAGCGUGAUGUAGGCUCAUUGUACUCCCAUCCGGUGGCUUUAAUUUGCUCUAAUGGAAUCGAAAAUGAAUCAAUCCUUGUAACUUCUUUUUCUUCCUCUUCAUCAUCGGAAAUCGACUUUAUUUCCAAAAAAAAAUUUGGGUCGAUUUUGGAGUUCCAAUCAAUAUCAUCGAUAUACAUAUCUGCUGCAUUACUUGGCAACUUAUUUGUGCAAGGAAAACGAUGAUAAUAUUCCCAGAAUCUCUGUUUGGCUUCCUGGAAAGCUUUUAAACCAGCUGAAUCAUCCCAUUCAAAUACUUUAUCUGUUUUGAACAAAUUAUUCUUUGAUUCAAGAAAUCUUUUCCAUGGCAUUGUACCCACUUUUAUGCAGAAUUUUUUCUCCCAUGCAGGUAAUGGUUCCCAUGAAUUACCGUUAUCAUUCAGUUUGGGACGAGUAGAUUUCGGACUGUAGUACCUUUCUGGGCGAUUAUGAUAUCUUCUCUGAUUGUAUGACAUGAUUUCUUGUAAUCCAAACAAAUAAAUGAAUUGAAAUCACUAAUGAUAUGAAUUCAUAGUGAGGAGACUUGUGGGUUUAUAUAAUAUUAUUAGAGUCGGCGGUGACUCAAUCCUUUUCCUGGUUGGAAAAGGAAUUCUAAUUUCAGUUUGACUAUGAUUUCUAUUUUCUAAAUAUUUGUAUAAUAAAAUUAUUAAAAAAUAACUAUAUCUGUAUUAAUUCGUUUCCCUCUAAUUGAUACGUUACAUCCCUAGCUUCUCUAGAAUCCUCAUUGACUAUCUAAUCUCUUCACCCAUUGGUGUUCCCCCAAGAACGUUUUUUUCUAGUUUUCUCCUCCUAAUUCAUCUCCACGAUCAUCACCUCCUAGCUUACCGUUUUCAACUUACUUCCAAUACACCACUUUUCCCUUAAAGCGAGCUAAGUUCACAUUUACUUUACUUCCAUAUAUACAGAAUCCAUUAAGUUUACUAAUUGCCCUCUUAUCAUCCACAAUGCUUGCAAAUCUUACUAAACCAAAACCUAGACCUUUUCGAUGCCUCUUGUUAGGAAUAAACGCGUCCAACACUUUGCCAUGGAACUCAGAGAUUUUCCAUGGUCCCUUCCAAUGAAAACAAGAAGGAAGAUUAGAAACAUAAACUAAAAUCACCAUUUUCUCUAAGGAUUUAGCCUAGUAAUAGUUUACAAUAACUCCACGGCAUCUGAUUAAAAGCACAAGUUAAUUGAAUUACCAAGAACAAUGUUCUUCAACACUAUUCCAAAUUCAAUUUUGGAACUUUUGUUAUCACAGCUUUCAACUGUUUGAAACUCUGUUGGCAUUAUUCAAUCGCACAUAACUAACAUUUUCAGUAGCAACUUCGUCAUGGUAGAGCUAUCAUCGACGAGCCUGAACAAAUCAUCUGUAGUAUACAAUAAAUCCUAGAGACCUACAUAUUUCUACAUUAUUUCCCAGAGAUUCCCUAAUUAACAUUUAUCAGGAGUUCAUUCGAAAUAACUCAAAUAUAUUCUACUGUUAAUAAAAGGUUUAAAAAACUUAUUUCUUGAAAUUAAAAUUCACAUUUAUUGAUCUUCACAAAUAAUUAUUUCUUCACAUGAAUUGAGUAUAUUUUGUCUAUUAAAUAUAUAAAGUGACUAUGCAAUUGAUAAUCAUAUACAAUAAUCAACAUUUGACUAAACUUUGCAACCUAUACAAGUUUUUGUGGGAUUUCGACAAAAUAUAAACAAAAACCCCGAGAAGACACUUAAAACAUUUACUCAUCCAUGGCAACUGGCUGAAAAAAUUUGGGUUGUCGUCUAGCUCAUAAUCAUAUACCAGGUCAAUACCAAAUUCUAGCACAGAUAAAUCUGAAAGAACCCGAAGACUAAUAUGAUCACCAGCUUCUAAUUCAUCACCCCUAAAAUUCCAACAAGUCGUCCAAUAUAAUGUAUUCUUAGUUUCAGGAAUUCCCAUAAAAUUUUUGGAGUAGGUCCACUUUGUACCUUUCGUCUCGUUCACAAUUUCAAGGCAUGGUAAAAAUCCAUAUGUUUUAUCAUUCUUGGCAGAAAAAAUGAUAAUGGAAUUUAAGAAGCAACUUAUCUUAUUUCGACUAGAGUUUGGGGGCACUGAUAUUGAAACCUCAGUCUUGCCAGCUUGAUGGCCAUAGUAAUGAUGACCAUUGUAAUCAAAUGGCACUGGAUCAAAUGUUGUAAUUAUAUCGUAAUCAUAUAAUACCUGUAGCAUUGGGUCAGAGAAUGAGUUAUUAAAAAGUAUAUAGUAUAUAAAUAAUUUUAAAAACCUGGAACUUGUAAAGGGAACCUGUGGGGAAGCAACCACUUUUGAUUCUUCUAUAUAACUGCAAAGUUGCACUUUUGCAUUUCCAAAAGAUUCCAAACUGCGCAAGUGUUCAGUUAGGUCCAUCUUGAUAAUAUUUCUUGUGGAAACUUCAUCUCCUAAAAUAUGUACAAUAAUGUGUUAUUUAUCAAUUUUAGUGAUCAUCAACAUAAUAUGCUUAUUAGAAAGUAAUAGUAUUGACUUGAAUGGAGUGAUAAUUAAAGCUUUUAUCAGACCCAUUUGACACGAAUACAAAUAGUGACUCAUCCCCUAUACUCAAUGUUGUAUGAAAAAAUGAUAUCAAAGUAGUAAUGUUAUUAUCACUAAGAUAUAUUAUAAGACUUGUAAGAAAUAAUCAAUUAUACACAUUAUAUCUUUAUUUUUCAUUUUUAUAUAAAAUAUACACUUGAAAACUAUUAAAUAUGUUAAUCAAAACACCACUGUUAUAGUUUUAUCCAUUAUUUUAGUUUCCACUUCUAUUAGUACUAUUGGAUUAAUCAUUUAUCAAACAAUUAACUUAUUUUCAUUAGACCCCAAUUGCAGCAUAACUUUAUAAUUAUCAUUUUAUUAUUAAGCUAAAUUUCUCUCAUAAUCUAUUAAAUUGUCACAUUUCUUAAUAAUAUUUUUAUUGUAUUAGAAAGUCUUUUAGAGAAACAUUCAUCAUUUCUUGAACAUUUGUUAGUCACAUAUAAAAUGAAACAAUAAAAUAAAUAUAAUAGGAUGUAUUUACUAAAAUAUAAUUAUUUGAAGUCUACUCAACACCUGUAGAUGAGUGCGAAAAGCCAUAUUCAUAUCUAAUGUUGUGUUCUGAUUCAUAAGUAACGCCAAAUUUUCUUAUGCUGAGAUGAAGAGGCACUACCAUGCAACUCACAAGGUCACCACCUUCAAAUUCAGAAUCCGUUACUGGCCAAUGGAUCAACCACAACAUUGUGUUAUCGUUAGUCUUAGGAAUUCCGAUGAAACUUGAGCGAUAUCUUGUUGAAAUUGGCCAACCAUGCUGCUGUUACAUGUUUUGGUUGAAGUGCAUGCAGGAUGAUGACAUGCUGCAGCACGUAUACUUGCUGUAACAGCAAGGUUUUCUCUUUAGUUUCUUUGUUGAUUAAACUAGUUGAAAAUGAACAAGUUGGUGACAACUUGAUGCAUUAGGUGUUGAAUGAUUAGUUUAGGUGGCUUGUUUAUGUGUACAAGCAAUGUUUAUUAAGUUACUAGGCUACUUAGUGGUAGUAGGUAGUAUUUGGUAAUGUAUUUGACUAUAAAUAUGUUGUUUUUCUAGUUGAAUGAAUGAGCUAUCAGCCAUAAGCUCACUUGCUGCACAUUUGUGAGCAAGUAAAAAUUUUUCUUGCAUCUAGUUUCAUUGUUCUGUUCUCUCUGUUAUCGUCUUUUGCUGCUGCCAAUGUUCCAACAUAUCUCUGCAUGAUCCUUUUGGUCUUAUUGAAAAUGUGGACACUUGGUAGGAACUCCAAUAUUUGAUCACUAGCUAAAGAGAAAACUAUUGGAACCCACCCAUUGUUUGAAAAGUCAAAAAGGGUGGGCACCGAAAGUAGAAAGUAAAAUUGGUUGGCAAGUUGGGUUAAAAGUUGGCAUGGGAUAAUUGCAAUUUUGGUCCCUAAUUGUAUAGGGACAUUGCAAGUUGAUCCUUGAACCUCAACUAUAAAUAGGCCUAACCAUUUCUUACUUUCUUCAUCCCAUAAUUGCCAUUCUCUACUUAAGGCAUUAUUCUCUCUCUCUAUUUGUAAAUUUCACUUGUAAUUUUUGGAGUGAAAUAUAUUUGGUAGUGCCCGAGGACGUAGGCAAAAUUUGCUGAACCUCGUUAAAAUUCUGGUGUUCUUUAUUAUUUGUUUUGCAUAUUUUGUGAAUGUGAUUGUAGUGAUUUAUUGUGCUAUUAAAUUACGAUAGAGGGAUAUUCUGGCUAGGAAAGACUUGGUAUUUAAGUGAUCUUCGUGAUCUACCUCUCUUUCCUGGGAAUUGAACUUAGUGUGAUUUUUCAGUACAAUAAUUUUACUCUUUCACACGCUUCCGCGCAACAAUUGGUACCAGAGCCAGGUUCGUACUUGGGGAAUACGACCGUUUACGGUACUAUUCACGUAUAUGAUACUAUUCACGUAUACGGUACUAUUCACGUAUACGGCACUAUUCACGUAUACGGUACUGUUCACGUAUACAGUAGUUGGGAUUGAAGAGAAAAAUGGCAGCAGCAUCGUCAUCAGCAAGGACUACUGUGACAAAUGCAAAAUUUGAAGUAGAGAAAUUUGACGGUACCAAUAAUUUUGGUAUGUGGUAAUGUGAGAUCCUGGAUGUCUUAUGUCAGCAAGAGCUAGAUAUAGCCCUUGAAGAAAAACCUGACAAGAUGGAUGACAAGGAGUGGGCCAAGAUCAAUAGACAGGCGUGUGGUACAAUCCGCCUAUGUUUGGCCAAAGAGCAGAAGUACUCUGUCAUGAGGGAGACAUCAGCGAAGAAGUUAUGGGAUACACUGGAAGAAAAGUUUCUAACGAAAAGUCUUAAAAAUAGGCUUUAUAUGAAAAAGAAACUUUAUCGAUUCACGUAUGCACCCGGUAUAUCGAUGAAUGACCAUGUGAACUCAUUCAAUAAAAUUUUAGCAGACUUGCUAAAUUUGGAUGAGAAAUUUGAAGAUGAAGACAAGGCAUUAUUGUUGUUGAAUUCCCUUCCUGAUGAAUAUGAUCAUCUUACCACCACAUUGCUUCAUGGGAAGGACACGAUCACAUUUGAUGCAGUCUGUAGUGCGUUGUAUAGAUCUGAGACUCGAAAGAAAGAUAAAAGAGAUCACAGAGAUACAACCGCAGAAGUCUUAACAGUAAGAGGUCAUUCACACAGCAGCAAAUCUGGUAGAAGGGGAAAGUCCAAAGGGAGACCCGCCAAAGAUGAAUGUGCCUUUUGCCGUGAAAAAGGGCAUUGGAAAAAGAAUUGUCCUAAGCUACAAAAGGGCAAGGCUAUUUCUAAUGCAUGUGUAGCGGAGCAUGAUGAGGAGUCAGACUUUGCUUGGUUGGCAUGGCAAUGGCAUGUGAAACGGAUGAGUGGAUUUUGGAUUCAGGAUGUACUUACCAUAUGUGUCCUAAUAAGGACUGGUUUUCUAGUCUUAAAGAGCUAGAAGGUGGAAUUGUUCUUAUGGGCAAUGAUAGUGCUUGUAAGACAAUGGGAGUGGGUACAGUCCAAUUGAAGAAUCACGACGGCUCAAUCCAAGUCUUGACAGAUGUUCGCUACGUACCUAGCCUGAAGAAAAAUCUCAUCUCAUUAGGUGCCCUAGAAUCUAAAGGGCUCACAAUCACUUUGAGAGAUGGAUUACUAAAAGUAGUAGCUGGGCAACUGACGGUGAUGAAAGGCACAAUAAGAAAUAACUUGUAUUUUUGAAAUGGAAGUACAGUUAUUGGAUCAACAUCAACAGUUUCUACAAAAGAUGUAGAUUCAGAGGCUACCAGAUUAUGGCAUAUGCGAUUGGGACAUGCUGGUGAAAAAGCUUUGCAGACAUUGGUGAAGCAAGGCUUAUUGAAAGGUGCAAAUUCUUGCAAAAUAGAAUUCUGUGAACAUUGUGUUCUGGGCAAGCAGAAGAGGGUAAAAUUUGGUCCAGCAAUUCACAAUAUGAAAGGAAUUCUGGACUACGUUCACAGUGAUGUGUGGGGACCUACCAAAGUAGCUUCUUUGGGAGGUAUGCACUAUUUUGUUACUUUUGUUGAUGAUUAUUCAAGAAAAGUAUGGGUGUAUCUAAUGAAAAGAAAAAGUGAAGUUUUGGAUGUAUUUCUGAAAUGGAAGAAGAUGGUGGAGACUCAGACUGGUCGAAAGGUCAAACGACUUCGAUCAGAUAAUGGUACUGAGUACAAAAACGAUCCAUUUCUACAAGUAUGCCAAGAUGAGGGCAUUGUGCGACACUUCACUGUUCGGGAUACACCAUAGCAAAAUGGGGUGGCAGAACGAAUGAAUCGAACUAUACUGGAGAAAGUUCGAUGUAUGUUGUCCAAUGCUGGAUUGGGCAAAGAAUUUUGGGCUGAGGCAGUUACAUAUGCGUGCCAUCUAAUUAACCGUUUGCCAUCAGCUGCAAUAAAUGGAAAAACUCCUAUGGAGAUGUGGACUGGUAAAUCUGCUACUGAUUAUGAUUCUUUGUAUGUAUUUGGUUCCACUGCAUAUUAUCAUGUAAAAGAAUCUAAGUUAGACCCAAGAGCAAAGAAAGCAUUAUUCUUGGGUAUAACUGAUGGAGUAAAAGGAUAUCGUCUCUGGUGUCCUGAUACAAGGAAGAUUAUUUUCAGUAGAGAUGUGACUUUUGAUGAAUCAACCAUGUUGAAGUACAAUGAUUCACAAAAGGAUGACAAAACCAGUAGUACUUUGCAGCAGGUGGAGCUUCAAAAGGUUAACGAUGAUCCAGCUAAUAUUGAAGGGACAAAUGAUGAAGAGGUUCCUACCCAAGAACCUCUACAGCAACAAGAUUCAAUUGCAUAUAGAAGGCCAAGAAGAGAGAUUCGUAAGCCUGCUCGCUUUGAUGAUAUAGUGGCCUAUGCACUUCCAAUUACAGAUGAUGAUGUUCCUUCUACUUACACAGAAGUAAUAAGUAACCCUGAUGGUGUAAAGUGGAAGCAAGCAAUGAAUGAAGAAAUGCAGUCUCUUCAUAAAAAUAAGACCUGGGAGUUGGUGACACUACCCAAGGGAAAGAAGGCAAUUGGAUGCAAAUGGGUAUAUGCAAAUAAGGAAGGAUUUCCUGAUAAAAAUGAAAUUCGAUACAAGGCUAGAUUGGUAGCAAAGGGUUACGCUCAGAAAGAAGGAAUAGACUACAAUGAAGUGUUUUCUCCAGUUGUGAAGCAUUCGUCUAUUCGGAUUUUGCUAGCCUUGGUUGCGCAAUAUGAUCUUGAACUAGUUCAGCUUGAUGUGAAGACCGCGUUUUUACACGGUGAUUUGGAAGAGGAAAUCUAUAUGACUCAGCCAGAUGGAUUCAAGGUUGCUGGAAAAGAAAAUUGGGUUUGCAAACUGACAAAGUCGCUUUAUGGAUUGAAGCAAUCUCCGAGGCAGUGGUACAAGCGAUUUGAUCAGUUCAUGAAAGGGCAAAGGUACACAAGAAGUAAAUUUGAUCAUUGCGUGUAUUUUCAGAAGCUACAAGAAGGAACUUUCAUAUACUUGCUCUUAUAUGUUGAUGAUAUGCUAAUAGCAUCUAAGAGCAAAGUUGAGAUUGAAAGAUUGAAGACUCAACUCAAUCUCGAGUUUGAGAUGAAAGAUCUAGGAGAAGCUAAAAAGAUUCUCGGCAUGGAAAUUUGGAGAGAUAGAGCUCAUGAUAGAGUUAGCUUGUCUCAGAAGCAGUAUUUGAAGAAGGUACUACAGCAGUUUGGCAUGAACGAGCAAACAAAACCUGUAAGUACCCCGUUGGCUUCUCAUUUCAAGCUUUCUGCACAACUAUCUCCUUCGACGAAUACGGAACGAGAAUACAUGUUGCAAGUUCCGUAUUCUAAUGCAGUGGGUAGCUUGAUGUAUGCAAUGGUGUGUACAAGACUCGACAUUUCACAGGCAGUUAGUAUAGUGAGCAGGUAUAUGCAUAAUCCUGGAAAAGGACAUUGGCAAGCUGUGAAAUGAAUUCUACGGUAUAUUCAGAAGACCGUGGAUGUUGGACUACUGUUCAAGCAGGAUAAUACACUUGGUAAAGGUGUUAUUGGGUACGUUGAUUCUGACUAUGCCGGUGAUUUGGACAAGCGAAGAUCAACCACCGGUUAUGUGUUUACACUUGCUGGAGGACCAAUAAGUUGGAAGUCUACACUACAGUCUACAGUUGCAUUGUCAACCACAGAAGCCGAGUACAUGGCUGUAACAGAGGCUGUAAAGGAGGCUAUUUGGUUACAAGGUAUGGCUAAAACCUUGGGGUUGGUUCAGGAGCAUAUUAACGUGUAUUGUGAUAGUCAAAGUGCUAUUCAUUUAGCAAAGAAUCAGGUCUAUCAUGCACGUACAAAGCAUAUCGACGUACGAUUCCAUUUUGUGCGGGAAAUUAUUGAAGAGGGGAAAAUUUAUCUUCAGAAGAUCAAGACUGCAGAUAAUCCCGCAGAUAUGAUGACCAAGGUGGUAACAGUAACCAAGUUUGAACAUUGUUUGAACUUGAUUAAUAUCCUGCAAGUUUAACAGUUAAAGAAGGCACUAUCAAGUAUUGUUGUCAAAGGCAGAAAGAAUUGUGUGAAGAUAAGAUUAUCCUAAUCAAAUCUUCAAGAUGGAGAUUAUUGGAACCCACCCAUUGUUUGAAAAGUCAAAAAGGGUGGGCACCGAAAGUAGAAAGUAAAAUUGGUUGGCAAGUUGGGUUAAAAGUUGGCAUGGGAUAAUUGCAAUUUUGGUCCCUAAUUGUAUAGGGACAUUGCAAGUUGAUCCUUGAACCUCAACUAUAAAUAGGCCUAACCAUUUCUUACUUUCUUCAUCCCAUAAUUGCCAUUCUCUACUUAAGGCAUUAUUCUCUCUCUCUAUUUGUAAAUUUCACUUGUAAUUUUUGGAGUGAAAUAUAUUUGGUAGUGCCCGAGGACGUAGGCAAAAUUUGCUGAACCUCGUUAAAAUUCUGGUGUUCUUUAUUAUUUGUUUUGCAUAUUUUGUGAAUGUGAUUGUAGUGAUUUAUUGUGCUAUUAAAUUACGAUAGAGGGAUAUUCUGGCUAGGAAAGACUUGGUAUUUAAGUGAUCUUCGUGAUCUACCUCUCUGGGAAUUGAACUUAGUGUGAUUUUUCAGUACAAUAAUUUUACUCUUUCACACGCUUCCGCGCAACAAAAACAAUGCAUAAGCUGAACCGAUGGAUCUUUUCUUCUGGAUGAGAUGGUGUUGGCAAAGAAAAAGAGAUUCCGUGCUCGUUAGUGCGAUGCUUAAACACAAUAGGAACUUCACUUCCUAUAACAAAUGUGCUUAUUAUAACACAUUCCUGCAAGACCUGAUCCAAAAAAAACAUGUUAGAUGAUUACGAAUGUGUUCAUUAAGUAAUGUAAGAGAAAAAAAUAAAGUUAAAAUUUAAGUUGGAGAACUAUUGGACCUGUGAGGUAGCAAGCAUUAAGCUGUCUGUUAGGUAGCUAUAAAGUUGCAGUCGAUUUCUGCUAAUGGAAUCCAGGUUGAAUAAUCUUCUAAUCUCUUCUUCUUCAAAGUUUUCAGUUGGUUCCAACUUGAAUAGAUCUUCAACUUCAGUCAAUUUUUCACAUCCAAAAAUAACACAUCGUGUGGAAGAAAAGAAGCAUGGAAGAAUUGCCCAAUAUCCUUUAAAUGGAGAUAUUGUCAAGAACUCAAAAACAUUGGGCAAGACUGGAAGCUUUGGAAUCAUUUGGAGUUCAGUGCAAGAAGUCAAUAGAAGUUCAUCAAGUUUUGUAAGUUUUUUUAUGCUUUCGGGAAGGCAAUGAAUUGGGUUUCUACUUAAAUUUAAGGAUUUCAAUGAAGCUAAGUUAUAAAGAUCAUUGGGCAUGACAUCAUCAGGUAAUUUGCAACUUUCAAGGCUUAACUUUACCAAAGAGCACCGUAGAGAUGCCCAAGAGAAACCCAAUUCUUUACUUCUUCUUUUUUCUUCACAUGAAUUAUGUUUAAUUAUAUAGCAACAACUCUCAUAAGAUACAGCUAGAAACUUUUGUCUAUUAAAUAUAUAAAGUGACUAUGCAAUUGAUAAUCAUAUACAAUAAUCAACAUUUGACUAAACUUUGCAACCUGUACAAGUCUUUUUGGGAUUUCGACAAAAUAUAAACAAAAACCCCGAGAAGAUACUUAAAACAUUUACUCAUCCAUGGCAACUGGCUGAAAAAAUUUGGGUUGUCGUCUUGCUCAUAAUCAUAUACAAGGUCAAUACUAAAUUCUAACACAGAUAAAUCUGAAAGAACCCGCAGAGUAAUAUGAUCACCAGCUUCUAAUUCAUCACCCCUAAAGUUCCAACAAGUCGUCCAGUAUAAGGUAUUCUUAGUUUCAGGAAUUCUCAUGAAAUGUUUGGAGUAGGUCCACUUUGUUCCUUUCGUCUCGUUCACAAUUUCAAGGCAUGGUAAAAAUCCAUAUGUUUUAUCAUUCUUGGCAGAAAAAAUGAUAAUCGAAUUUAAGAAGCAACUUAUCUUUCGACUAGAGUUUGGGGGCACUGAUAUUGAAACCUCAGUCUUGCCUGCUUGAUGGCCAUAGUAAUGAUGAUGACCAUUGUAAUCAAAUGGCGCUGGAUCAAAUGUUGUAAUUAUACCGUAAUCAUAUAAUACCUGUAGCAUUGGGUUAGAGAAUGAGUUAUUAAAAAGUAUAUAUUAUAUAAAUAUUUUUUAAAAGUUGAAACUUGUAAAGGGAACCUGUGGGGAAGAAACCACUUUUGAUUCUUCUAUAUAACUGCAAAGUUGCACUUUAACAUUUCCAUAAGAUUCCAAACUGGGCAAGUGUUCAGUUAGGUCCAUCUUGAUAUUUCUUGUGGAAACUUCAUCUCCUGUACAAUAAUGUGUUGUUUAUCAAUUUUAGUGAUCAUCAACAUAAUAUGCUUAUUAGAAAGUAAUAGUAUUGACUUAAAUGGAGUGAUAAUUAAAGUUUUUAUUAGACAUCCAUUUGACACGAAUUCAAAUAGUGACUCAUCUCCUAUACUCAAUAUUAUAUGAAAAAAAGACACUAAAGUGUAUUUUAUUUUUUAAUUUUAUAUAAAAUAUAAACAUUAAAACUAUUAAAUAUGUUAAUCAAAACACCACUGUUAUAAUUUUAUCCAUUAUUUUAGUUUCCACUUCUAUGAGUACUAUUGGAUUAAUCAUUUAUCAAACAAUUAACUUAUUUUCAUUAGACCCCAGUUGCAGCAAAACUUUAUAAUUAUCAUUUUAUUAUUAAGCUAAAUUUCUCUCAUAAUCUAUUAAAUUGUCACAUUUCUAGAUAAUAUUUUUAUUGUAUUAGAAAGUCUUUUAGAGAAACAUUCAUCAUUUCUUGAACAUUUGUUAGUCACAUAUAAAAUAAAUAUAAUAGGAUGUAUUUAAUAAAAUAUAAUUAUUUGAAGUCUACUCAUACCUGUAGAUAAGUGCGAAAAGCCAUAUUCAUAUCUAAUGUUGUGUUCUGAUUCAUAAGUAACGCCAAAUUUUCUUAUGCUGAGAUGAAUAGGCACUACCAUGCAACUCACAAGGUCACCACCUUCAAACUGACAGUCCGUUACUGGCCAAUGAAUCAACCACAACAUUGUGUUAUCGUUAGUCUCAGGAAUUCCGAUGAAACUUGAGCGAUAUCUCUGCAUGAUCAUUUUGGUCUCAUUGAAAAUGUGGACACUUGGUAGAAGCUCCAACAUUUGGUCACUAGCUAAAGAGAAAACAACGCAUAAGCUGAACCGAUGGAUCUUUUCAUCUGGAUGAGAUGGUGUUGGCAAAAAAAAAGAGAUUCGAUGCUCGUUAGUGCCAUGCUUAAACCCAAUCGGAACUUCACUUCCUACAACAAAUGUGCUUGUUAUACCACAUUCUUGCAAGACCUGAUCCAGAAAACACAAGUUAGAUGAUUAAGUAGUAUAAGAGAAAAAAAUAGAUUUAAAAUUUAAGUUGGAGAACUAUUGGACCUGUGGGGUAGCAAGCAUUAUGCUGUCUGUUAGGUAGCUAUAAAGUUGCAGUCGAUUUCUGUUAAUGGAAUCUACGUUGAAUAAUCUUCUAAUCUCUUCUUCUUCAAAGUUUUCAAUUGGUUCCAACUUGAAUAGAUUUUCAACCUCAGUCAAUUUUUCACAUCCAAAAAUAACACAUCGUGUGGAAGAAAAGAAGCAUGGAAGAUUAAUUAUCCCAGAUCCUUGAAAUGGAGAAUUGUCUCCAAAAAUAAACUUGCACUCAAAAACAUUGAGCAAGACCGGAAGCUUUGGAAUCAUUUGGAGUUCAGUGCAAGAAGUCAAUAGAAGUUUAUCAAGUUUUGUAAGGUUUUUUAAGCUUUCGGGUAGGUAAUGAAUUGGGUUUCUACUUAAAUUUAAGGAUUUCAGGGAAGCCAAGUUACAAAGAUCAUUGGGGAUGACAUCAUUAGAUAAUUUGCAACUUUCAAGGCUUAACUUUACCAAAGAGCUCGGUAGAGAUGCCCAAGAGAAACCCAUUCCUUUGCUUCUUUUCAGUAAGAGCCAAUGCAACCCCGAUCUUGAUUGAUAUAUGGCAGUUUCAUCUAAAUUAAGCACCUUCAAUGAUUCCAUAUUAUGCAACUCCCUAGGAACAUCAUCAAGUCUUGAACAACCAGAUAAGACAAGCUCUUCAAGUGAUAUUAAUGAACCAAUUGUCCUUGGAAGAUGCCUAAGACUAGUGCAAUCUUUAAGGUUCAAGAAAGUAAGCAUCUUUAGCUCACCAAUGGAUUGAUCAACUUCCACCAAAUUUAUGCAAUCUUUGAGCAUCAACUUCUCAAGGCUAGGGAGUCCUGAAAAGCUUGGGGUUUUAAGAAGGCCAUGUGAAUGGUUGAGAUUAAGGAUCUUUAAAUUUGGGAGGCACUGCAAAAAAAGAAAACCCUUCAUUUGUAUAUUAUUGUUUCACACACACACAAAAAGAAGGAAAAUUAGUAUAUAUCAUACCUCUGUAUCCCUCCAAACUUGUUUAAGUUUACUGUUGCGCAUGUCGAGAACAACUAGUUCAUUGAUAUCAAAAUCCACCGGAAAAGAUUGCAUACAAAACCCACGCCAACGUAACCAUCUUAAUCUUUUGGGAAAGUCUUUGAAGUCUCCUUUAAGUCUUACAUAAUCCAGUUGAAGCUGUUUAAGUCUCUUCAUCUUCGCAAAUGCUUGAGUUUCCAUAUCAACAUCAUUUGCCAUGAGAAAUUGACUUUUGGAAUGCUUUGGAAAAUGUAGAGUUGUAUUUGUCCGUUUAGCCUUGUCUUCUAGCAAUCCUUUUAGGUCAAUUGUGAGGCACUUAACUGUUCUGGAACCCUGCAUCAGAAAAACUUUUUUAAAAAAUAAAAAGAAACUUGAUAAAUAAAUAAAAAGUAGUUUACAUGCACACAAGAAAAAAGUUGAGUAAAAUGAUGUUUCUUACAAUUUUUUCUCUUAUUACAUCAAACGCGUUCUUAUGCCACAAUCUGCUUCGUUUCCCAAUAUCUGAUGAUUCUUGACGAAUAAUUUCUCGUCCCAUAUCUUUAAUCAUUUGGUGCAUCAUUAGCUUGUUUUUUUCAUUAAUGAUUAAGAGAGACCUGCCUACUAGAUUUUCAAUUCCAAUUGUUGUAUAGAAAUCACAACCAUCUAGAAUUGUAGUCGUGUAAUCUCUAUCCUUCCCAAUGAAUAAACAAACUAUGUCAAGGAAUAAAUUUUUGUCAUGAUCGUCUUCCAAAGAAUCAUAGCUUAUUCUUAGAAUCUUUUGAAUUUUGUUGUCAGGGAUUUCUUCUAAUUUCUCCAAUGCACUUUUCCAAGAACUCACACUUUUGCUAGAUAGUGAAGAGCCGAAAACUUGAAGAGCUAAUGGAAGCCCACCACAGUGUUUCACUAAACUUCUUGCAAAAACCAUUGAACUUUCAGGCACAGAGUUAUGACCAAAAGCAUACCAAUUAAAAAGUUGUACUGAUUCACUUGAAGCUAAUUCUUUUACUUCAAAUUGCUUGCUUAAGCCUCCACAACUAGUUGAUGCUUCCAAAUCAAACAUUUGGCUUAUAAAAUAUGCAUUCAAUAGGCAUCGGUUUCUACUAGUUAUGAUGAUUUUACUUCCCGGAUGAAAAGGAAUUUGAGUUCCCAUUAAUUUUCUUAUUUUUUCCAAUUCAUCAACAUCAUCAAGAACAAGAAGAACUCUUCUACAACAGACAAUUUCUUUGAUCUUGUUAAUUCCAUUAUCUAUAUUGUAUAUUUUAUGUGAUUUUCCUUUAAGGAUAUCUGAAAUAAGUUGCCUUUGCAAACGGACUAAACCAUUGCAAUCUUGACUUGUUUCUCUAACAUCAGCAAGGAAACUAUAACCUUCAAACCUCGGGAUGUUUUGAUUGUAAACAACUUUGGCAAUGGUUGUCUUCCCAAUGCCUCCAAUGCCACAAAUAGUUGCAAUGCCAACUUUAUUUGCUCCAUCUUGCUCUAACCAUUGAUUAAUUUGUGUCACGAGAGGAUCUAUUCCAACUAAAUAAGGAGGGACAUACAAAGAAAUAAGAUGAAGUUUAUUUUGAACUUCUUUAACAAUAUCUUGAAUGAAUUGUGAUUCAUGCCUGCAAAUUUAAAAAAUACAACUCAAUGGUAAAAUCUUAGAAAUUAAGUAUAAGUUACUAAUGUAUUUUCUCUUUUCUUGCAUAUAUUUUGAUUGUUUUUAUGAGAUUAUAUGUUCAAGUAAAAAUAAGAAACUAAUGCAACAUUUCAACAUAUAUGAUACAUUCAAAAUCAAAUCAAAUCAAAUAAAGCAACAUAAAAAUUAAUGGAAUUCAUUCGAGAAAUAACCUAUACUCAAAAUUUCAACUUUUCUUUAUGAAAGUUUAAUAAAUUCAUGUUAUUUACAUGAAUUUAUAUAUUUAUUUUUUAUUCGUUGUAAUACUUUGAAUAUGUGUAGGACUAUUAUACGAAUAACUUGGAUAUAAUUGUUGGAAAUAUACUAUUGCAAAAUAGAAUUGUUACAUGAGACCAAACUGAAUGUAAAUAAAAUAAGAAUCACUGUGUCGUGAAGAACCACUGCAUUGAGGCAAAUUCGCCCUGAUCGGUGUAAUUGUGUAAUGAACGUUACCCCCCAACAUAAUACUCCAAUAUUCGUACACCCGAAUAAAGAAGGUGGAACACGGCUGACAUUACUCUUUCCGAAAAAAAUUCAAUUCCCAAGAAAGAUUAAAGGGGUCACAAACAGUCCCGCUUAAAACCUAAUCUCUUAGAUAGAAUUUCUCUCUCGUGUAAUUUUGCAGAACUCUAGAAUUUAGAGAACAUAGAGAGAAGUUUUUUUUUCUUGUUGUGUUAGGUGGGAGAAUGCCCUCCUAUUUAUUCUAUUUUUUGAUGGGCAAAAUGGUAAAAUAACAAUUUUAGUUUCCAAAAAUAGCAAAGGAUUUUCCUAACUGAAAAUAUUCUAAAAAUAUUUUAUGCAACAGUUAGAGAAUUUUCCGCAAUUGAAAAUAUUCUUUUGCAUUACCAACAAUGACAUCUUAGAAAACCAUAAAUAGUGUCAUUAAAUUCAAGAGGCUAUUUCUUUUUGUUUUCUACUCGUCAAAUUCAAGUUGUUCAUGUGAUAGGUGCAAAUGUAUUUAAAAUUUGAUCUAUGUGUUUUAAAAACAUCUCAUUCGAGCUAACAUUUAAUGCUUAAGCUGAUGAUUUGUUUGAUAGAAAGACCUUAUUGAUACAAUACUAAUAUUUUAAUGACUCAAUUAAAACAUGUUAAUGUUUGAGAAAUAAUUUAAAAUCUGAAUUAUAAUUAACCCUUUAAAAUGGAUUGAAGUAAUCAUUUUAAUUUCCAAACGCUACCUAACAAUAUUUUCUAUUAAUUUUAUUUCUACCCUAUCAAGUCUUAAUGAAAAGGAUUGAAGUAACCAUAUGGAACUUGAUUAUGUGUAUAACGUACCUGUCUUGUAGAACCAUGCCUCCUAUAUCCGCAACUUCUUUUAAAGCAUUCCUCCAUCUUCGUACCAUGGACUCGAAGUUUUGUUCAUGUUGGGUAAAUGCUUCUCCAUAACUUCCCGUCUGGUUCUUGACUUGACUCGGAUCCACAUCAUAGAAAACUGGCAACACAAUAUGUUUAGAGGAUUUCUUGUGCUCCAAUAUCAUUACAAGUUCGUUAAGACACCAUGUGGAUGCAGCAUAAUUCUUUGAGAAAACAACGAUAGAAAUUUUGGAGUGGUGUAGUAUUGCUCUUUCAAUUUCAUAUUUUAUGUUAUUCCCUCUCUCGAUUUCCUCAUCAUCUCUGAAUGUUUGAAUUCCUAAGUGCACCAAAGCUGUGUAAAGAUGAUCCGUGAAACUUUUGCGCGUAUCUUCACCUCUAAAACUCAAGAAUACAUGAUAAGUACAUCGCGAGAUUUCUGACAUUGCCAUUGAAGAAGAAAAUGAAGUCGUCCUGUAUUUUUUAUGUAAUAACAAUGUUCCAGCAUAUAUAUAUAUAUAUAUAUAUAUGAAUGGCAAAGAAGAUAUUAUUAGCAGUCAAGUGGCAGUUCCCAAUCCAUGGUGGGUCAAUCCUUCCACCAGUUCAUACAACUAUCCGAAGAAAUUCAUGUCGGCCAUGUUGUUUUUUCCAAAUCUACCAACUUGGGUUACGUAUUCUAUAUUAUUAAUUUUGCUUGACAAAUACAAGCUAUUGAUUAACUUGAUGGUUAUAGCUAACACAACACGUAAUAUAGACAUCAUCUUCAGGCCAAUAUUAGUAAAAAUACUAUGAAGGUUUUUGUAUUUUAAGUUAUAUCAUAUUUUGUUUUUUCUAUUUAAAAAAUAGUAAAUUAGUCUUUGUAUAUUAGAUUAUAAAUUAAAUUAGUUCUUUUGUUAAAAAAAUUACCCAUUGUUAUUAUUAAAAAUUGGUCCAUGUAAUCAACACGAGGUACAUGUGACACGUCACAUGCAGUUAUCUGGUUAUUUCGUCAUUCACAUUUGUUUUUAACAACAAAAAUGAAUGAAAUUUUUAAUAGAAAUAAUAAAUUUGUUCUUUUAUCUAAUGUAUAUGGACUAAUUUGCUUGUUUUUGAAUAAAAUGGGUUAAAUAUAAUUUGACUCUCAAUAGAAUGAUCUCCAUGAUACUUUUACCAGCUAAUACCUUGGUAGAUACAGUCAAUAAUUAAACCACAACCACAAUAUAUCACAUAGACAUCACAUUAAACAUUCAAGUUCGGUAUAGUAAAGAGACAAUUUUAGUAUCUAUGCAUGAAUGAAAAAUUAAUUAUUUUUGGAAAAGAAUUGAUGAUUAAAUGGAUAAGUCAUCAAUUUUUUUAUUUAAUUUGUUCUUGUUAUCUAAAGUAAAUAAAUUUUUAAAAUUAAAAAAUAAUAAAAAUUCACGUACAUUGCACAUUAAAGUAAAUUGAAAAUGAGAAUUGAGAGGCCAUAAGAGGAGAAUAAUUCCGAAGUAUUCUAGAAAACGCGUUUCAAUCGCUUUUCAUUUCGGAGUCAUGCUUACGGUCCAUUUGGUGCUCAACAUUUUUAUUGAAAAUAUUAUAUGAAUAGAGUUUUUCAACAGAGGUAGUAAUAAGGAAGGAAAACGUCAAAGUUGUUCACUAUAAAAAUAUAUAUAUUAUCAGACCUUAAACAAUGAUUUAUGGGCCUUAAAUUAGCAAUUAAAGAGGAUGGGAUAAGGGUAAGAUUGAGUAAUUGAUCCAAAAUUUCAUGCUGAGGGCAACUAGCACAAAAUUGUUUAAAUAUUUUCCAAUACUCAUUAAGGAUCUUCAUAUCCUUUUUGUGGUAUGCCAUAGAUUUCUUUCCUAAUUGAAGCACCAAGUCAAGAAAAAGAAAUUUCAACGAAUAUUCUUAUGAUAUCUAUUUUAAAAUUUUAAUAUAAUUAAUGAAAAAUAAUUCAUAUAUAUGAAUCAUCAAAUUUGACGUGCUUAGAUAACCCUAUAUGAUAGCCUGAUGAUUGAGGUUGUUCAUCACCUCAAAUGUGGCCUAGAUUUGAGUCGCGUUAUUUGUAUUGUAAUUCAAAAAAUUUUAACGUAUUUAAAUAAAUAUUGAAUUUUGUCACAUUUAGGGUGAGUUUGGAUGGGCAAUGUGUUUACCUGCGGUUAAUGUAAAAACAGCGUUGGCAGUGAGAUUAGAUACUGUAGCGAUACUGUAGAGUGAGACAAAAGUAAACUAAACGCAUCGCACCGCACCUAAUCGCCCAUCCAAACAGACUCUUAAUAUAGAGGACAUAAGAGGAGGAGAAUAAUUCCCAAGAACUUGGUGUGGAAAAUGGUAGUACUAGAAAACGCGUUUCAGUUACUUUUCAUUUUGGAGUCAUGCUUACGUUCCAAGACUUUACACCAUUAGCAAUUAGAGUGGGGCUUCAACAAAAUUACGGCCCCAACUGUUUCACCUAACAUAAUAAAUUCGUGGGCUAACCCAUUUCAGUGCAAUAAAAGUAGUGAAGAGGAUGGGACAUUGUUGGUAAUGCAAAGUGGAAUCCCUCGUUACAGCCUUCAAAUUUUUUGGUUCACAAUAUUUUAGGAAGAACUCGAUUCAAAUAAUAUUUUUUCAGUGAUUGUUUUUUUCAAUAAUAUUUUUUUUAAAUUUAGAUCUAUAUUUUUCUUAAAAGUAUAAUAUGUCUCACCAUUAUAUGUAACAAUUGCUAAUUAUUCAAAUAAUAAUGUUAACAAAAAGGUUGAGCACCAAAUGGUUGAUAAGUACUAACAAGCUCAUGGUCUAAAGUCUAGAUCGAGUAGCACUAUUAUCCAAAACAUAGUGAAACAUAUUAAUUCUUUCUCCGACGUUUGUUAUAUAGAACUCUACAACCUAGUGCUACUAAUUAUCAAUUUUAUUGUUGUGACUCCAUAAUUAAAAUUUAGCUGAUCCCUUCAUUCAAGAGUGUAAUUAUUUGAAUAGGAUCAUGUCUCUCUUUUAUGGUGGAACACUAAUUCAUUUUAUUACAUGGACUUGUUCAUAAAAAUUCUCUUAAAAUAUCGAACAAAUAUCAGUUAAGUGUUCUGAUUUAAAUAUUUAGUUUUUAAGAGAAUAUAUUCUUACUUCAUUACGCUUUCUCGAAGAUUUAUGUCAAAUCCAAACUGAUGUGAGUUGGUAGCCAUAUAUUUUUAUUUUUAAGGAUUUUAGUCCUUCUAUUUUUUGAGAUUUCAAAACUCAAAUCUAAUUGUUAACACUAUUAAUUUUUUUAUUAAAUUCGAGUUAAUUACAACAUCAUUUUUGUAAUUACGUGGUUACCAAAUAAGUUUUUUUUUUAUUUCAAAAUGCCACUCUAACACAUUUAACAAAAAAAUUAAAAUGUUAACCAUCAGAAAGUAAAGAGACUAAAUUUCUGGAAAUGAAAGUACGUGUUCUAAACUCCAAAAUUUUUAAAAGUACAAAAACUUAUGGCAUUUUUUAACCUUUUAACUUCUGAGACGAGCUACUCAUCCAUUCCCCGCUCGAGAUUUGGGAGGAUUUAGACAAAAUUAUCAAGCUCGAAAAAUAGAUUUGGACAAAAAGUUAGUCCAAUUUAAAAUACGAUUCGGGUCGGGCAUAAAAAUUCAAGGCCCGAGCCAUUUACUAAUUUUCUAAUAUAUUAUAUUAUGUUAUUUUUAUAAAUUAUAUAAUUUUUUUUUAAAAAUAAAUCUAUAGUAAUACAUAUGAUACUAUAAUGUAAACAUUAAAAAAUGUUAAGAUGUCUAUAUAAAAUGUUAAGAAAUUUGGGAAAAAAUUCAAUUCAAUCAGGCACAAAACAAUUUGUGGGUCGAUUAAUUUAACGUCUCUAUUCAAAUCGACAAUGGCGAAACCUAAAAGAGGCCUAGGGGGCCAUGGCACCACCAAGGAUUAAAAUUUUCGCAAUUUAGCCCUUUGUAGAUAUACUAUGGCCCUCCCAAACAUAUAAGUAGCCCCCCAAGGUUUAAGAUUUUUGCAAUUUUCCAAAAAUACUGCUUCUUUUGGAUCGAUUAUCAUAUUGGAAUAGUGCUUCUUUUGAGUCAAUUCUUUAUAUGUUUAAAUCGAUUGUCAAGUUGGAACACUACUUCUUUUGAAUCGAUUGUGUAUAUGAUUAAAUUGAUUGUCAUGUUGGAAUACUGCUUCUUUUUAAUUGAUUGUGUAUAUGAUUAAAUCGAUUGUUAUAUUGGAAUACUACUUCUUUUGAAUCGAUUGUUUAUAUGUUUAGAUCAACUGUUAAGUAGCACGUCUAAUUUUAGUUUGGCCCCCAAAAUUAACAUCCUGACUCCGCCACUACGGAUCAAUAUAUUGGUCAAUUCUUGAUUCAAUUUAUCGACUAAUCUUAAUUAAUUCGAUUUAAAUAACUAUGUCAAAUAUAUACAUAUUUCUAAAAUAAUAUGUUAGUGUAAAAAUAUUUAAUCAAUUUGAGUUAUGAAAUUGUGGUCUAACAAUAGUUUUGGGUAUCUUAUAAACUCAAAAUUUUCAAAUUAUGCCGGUGUCCAUUUGUGCUUUAUUUUUGGUACAAGUUCUUUUUGGAGCUAUACCAUAUAUUAUAUAAUUUAAAAUAUUCUUAAAAAAUAGAUUGAAGUAAAUUAAGCCUCAAAAUUAAAUUCAUCAAGCAGUGUACAUGUCCAAAUUACUAUAUUGAUUAAUAAUAAUAUUGAAUAAAUAAGACAUAAAUAACCUUCAAGAUUCAAUCCUUCAAGUUUUCUUUCUCCCUUAUUUACUUCAAUUUUAUAUAUGAUAUUUCGACUUAUUAAUGGGUUCAGUUAUUGAUCCAAAUUUAAAAGAUUAUUUAAAUUUUGAAGGAAUUUUGAUAAAAUUAUUAAACCCUGAAAAUAGGACUGGGCAAAAAAAAUUAAACUUGUUUAAAAUAUGAGUUGAACUCAUAUAUGAACAUUUAAGGUCUGAACUAGGCUCGGUCCAUUUUUAAAAUUUGUAAUUUUAUAUUAUAUUAUUCUUAUAUAUUAUGUAAUAUAUAAUACAAAAAUUAAAUCUAUAGUAAUAUAUAAUAUCGUAAACAUUAAAAAAAACAUUAAGAAGAAUAUAUAUAUAUAAGUUUAAUAAAUAAAUUAUUAAAUUAUUAAAUAGUAUUAAAAAUAAUAUAAAUAAUUUUUUUAAAAUAAUAAUAUGGGUGGAUUUAAAAUGGAUUUGGAUUAACUAUUUAUAAGUAUGGAUGGGCUUAAACAAAUUUUAGAUACAUAUUUCAGACUGAAUCUAGUCGAUCUUGACUACCAGAAUAUGUGUUAACAUCAUGCUUAAUUCUAACCCAAACUCAACCCGAUGCAUAGCGGAAAAUGUUUAAACUUCAAACGAUAUUAGUGAAAUAUGAUUAAUUUUUAAAUAUUUUUUAAAUAGCUUAUGAGUAAAACUUUUUUAUUAGUUUGAAGAGUUGUGAGUUUAACUCUGAAUCGAUUCUUAAUCAAUUUCUAAUUCAACCAGUUUGACCAAUCAAUCUGAUUUGGUUUAGACAACUUUGAUUAUAUGAAUUUGAAGUUACAACUGAUAUUAAAAUAAAUCGAAACCUUCUCGGUCUCACCAAACUUACUCUAAACCAAGAGCAUAAAAAAUAAAUAAAAAAUAAAAAAUCCUCCUCUAAACCAUGCAGUGUCAGCAAUCAUAAGAUCUGUUAGUGAAACAUUCAGUAGAAACUAUAGAUGACAAGAAGUGGGAACCCUCACCUUGUCAGAGAUAAUGGGAAGUAUUGAACUCUUAUAAUUAGAAUAAUCAAGUUCCACUGAAAAUAACGAUAUAAAAACGCAUACCAUGAACAUGCAGUUCAUAAUAUUCUUUGAAGUUUUAAACUCUUGACAAUAACCAGAAAAGUCAAACACAAACACAGUCUGUAUCUUCAGUUGAUAAACAUCCCAAUAAACCAUUGGGAUUCAAACACAAAACCAUCACACAAACACAUAUUAUCUGCAUCUUCAGUUCAUAAACAUCCCAAUAAACCAUUGACAUUCAAACACAACCAUCACACAAAUGCAUACCGGCAGUAUCUUCAGUUUAUAAACAUCCCAAUAAACCAUUGAGAUUGUAUUUCAAAGAAGCAAAUUACUCAACCCGUGGCUUUUUCUGCAACCUGGCUAGCUUCAGUUGGUUUUCUUUUAACUCAGCUUCGUCCUGAUCCAGCUUCAGUUUCUUCUCUUUUAAGUCAGCUUCGUCCUGAUCCAGCUUCAGUUUCUUCUCUUUUAAGUCAGCUUCAUCCUUCUCCAGCUUCAGUUUGUCUUUUCUAACAUUAGCUUUCUUCUUCUCAAAUCUCUUCUCCUCUGCUUCAUACUCCAUUUCACGAGCCUUCAUCAAC
rnacentral:lncRNA from 1 species